GUAAUUCGUUUAAUGUUUUUGAGGAAAGUGAUGAUAUGAAAUUGUCGCCCCAGGCUUAAUCUGCAUCCAUUACGAUGGUUGUAACAUGGUGAUUGACUAUUUUUGUCUGAUUCUCUCAAAUCGUUUAUUAUGAUUCUGUUAUAAUGGUUGUGUAUGGAUAUGAUGAAAUGGCAAUAAUGUUUUGUGACACCCAGUCUGAUCUUCGUGAUUGAUUUGCCAUAUUUUCUGAUCCUAAUUCUUCUUCAGUUUUGUGAAUUUUGAUUCAAAGUUUUGAUCUUUGAAAGGGAGGAAUGAGGAUGUAAUUCCAUACGUCUGCAAAUCUGAAAUACAGUGUUGAUACAAUGACAUGCACUACCAUCUGACCUCUGUUUUCUUGUUUUUGUUUUUGUUUUCAAUACCCUUUUGUUAGUUGUCUGCAAUCAGUGAUGAAAUUAUGUCAAAUUCAAUGAUUAUACAAUGAUUAUUAUAAUCACUAGAUCACCAUCUUUCGGCUGAGAUUGCUGUUUCUUCUUUUUUGGAAUUAUUGUUUGUGUUAUUGUUGACGAUUUGCCUAUGGUAUCUGAUGUCCAAAGUUUGAUAAUUGUGUUUGGACAUUUCGUUUUUCUUAGGCAGAAAGUGAUUUCAGGCUUUGCGACACUGUUAGCUUAUCACAUAAGCUACCUGUUACUUUUAAUACCUGGUUACAUCUAUAUAUCAAUCUUUGGUUUGGUUUGGGUUUUAACAUCAUUGCUCCUUUUGUUUUUCGUAUCAUCUUGUGUUUUUAUGUGGUCUUGUGCAGGAUUUGUUGGCUUGUUCUCUUGGUGUAGGAUUGGCUUCUAAUGCGGAUGAUAUGCUUACUACGAGCAACUUCAAUCGGUCUCAAGAAUCAAAAUUGUCUGUUGUUUAAUGUUGUAUUUGAUGGACGAAUCUAGUCUUCUAAGACUAUGUAAUGUAAUCUCUUAACCCAAUAAAGAAAAUUAUCAACUUAGCAAUAUUCAUUGUCUAACUUAUUUUCAUAAAAUGGCAAAGAUACUGAAGUUGAUUUCCAGAUGAUGAGACACUCUAAAAGAGAGACAAACAUGAUAUCUUGUAUUUCUGUAAUGAUCUGACUAAUCUAAUAAUACAGUAGAAUCAUUACAAACAAAGAAGAAAUGGCUUGAUUUUGAUUCUCUAAAAUACAAGCCGAGUACUACUAUGUUCUUGAAGUUGAAAAGAGCAUGGUAAAGAACAUCUAGUACUAGAGAUUGACGUUAUAAGAGCCUUUUCUGUGUCUCCAUCCAUUCGUCUUUGGACCAAUCUGAUGAGAUACUCCAAGAAAACCGAAUCGAAUGGCAAUGUGAUUGGUCCUUCCGUGGGGAUGCCAAACUCUUCUUCGGAUAUCUUCAAGAGCUCUUGGAUAACAGAGUUGCUCAGAUAACUUAUUGGAAAAGCAAAGCGGAUUCUAUCGGAUGUGUAAACCACAAAACAGCCCUUCUCUGCAGCGGUUGAGCUGCUAGUAGUAUCAGUUGAUCUAUGAAAAGAGAUUCUUUUCCUUCUUAAGGCAGCUCUCUGUUGCCAUUUCUUGGCCAUCUUCAAGAGCUUCUUUGUGUUCAUCAUUAUAUUUAGGGAAAAGCUGUUUAAGAUUGGAAAGAGGAAGAGAUGUGCAAAUUGUGUUGUAUAACGUAACUCUUUGAAUGCAAGUUGUGGUUGAUGAAGAAUCCAAUAGGCUUGUUGCAUGAUAUAUAUAAGGAGAAACUAUUAGAGUUUAGAUUCACUUAAGAGAAACCACACCAGACAUAAGACAUGCGUCUGUCUUUGUCUUUGUUUUAUAUGUGAUGAUCAUAAGGGGUCCCUAAGUUGUAACCAAUCUUGUCUACUCACAACAUGUGGAUUAGAAACCUCUCCUGAAAAUACUUGACCAUGUGGAUUUAGGUAUGAGUCACUUAUACAAUAGUAUUACUAUUAAAUUUAGACACAGACAUGUGCAAGUGAAUGAAAGAUGCAGAACUUGUAGACCCUUUGACGUUUACAGAGAAGUUAGAACCCUAAACUUACAGAAAAUUCAAUGGUUGUUAAUAGCUCUCUAGAUGAGUGAAAAAGUUUCAUCAAGUUAAUAUUUUGUAGAAUAAUUGGAACCUUCUUUGAACAUACAAGCAAGUGUUCUCUUUUCUCUUCUCACUGUGACAGAUUAAGUAAGUUCAAAUUAUAAGAACAUCUCUUGUUCUUGUGCAAUCUUCUGUGCCUUAACAGAGAUUCAUAUGGACAUACGAUGAUUCAUAGUGAAGUACAGUAUAUUUCAUUAAUAUGGCUUGAGUAUUCAGAGAUUUAUAUGAAACUGUCAGAACAAGUGAUUUUUGAAGUUGGGAUAAAGUUUCCAUUUAUAUGGAAGGUCAUUUUUGAAUUUUUAUGAGACAACUUAAAUGAGAGACCAAAUAAGAAUAGUUUGUAUUCUGAAACAAUUAAGCUGUCUAAUCUAUAAACUCUACAAAAUACAGAAAUUUGCGAAACUCUAAAACACAAGCAACUGUUGAGUAGCACUACAAUGUUGUUGUGGUUGAAAAGAGCUUCUAGCACUUGAGAUUGACAAUAACAGAGCCUUUUCUGUAUCUUCAUCCAUUCGUCUUUGGAUCAGAUUGAUGAGAUACUCUAAAAAGGCCGAAUCGAAUGGCAAUGUGAUUGGUCCUUCCGUCGGGAGACCGAACUCUUCUUCAGAUAUUUUCAAGAGCUCUUGGACAAUAGUGUUGCUUAGGUAACUUAAGGGAAAUGAAAAACGGAUCUUAUCAGCCGUGUAAACCACGAAACAACCCUUUUCUACAGCUGUUUGGCUGCUAGUAGUAAUACUUGAUCUCUGAAAUGAAAUUCUUUUUCUCUUGAGGGCUGCUCUUUGUUGCCAUUUCUUGGCCAACUUCAUGAGCUUCUUUGCGUUUAUCAUCAUUUUCAGGGAGAGUUAAAGCUUGAGAUUGGAAAGCAAGGUGGAGAAGGAAAGAGAUAAGAUUGGUGAGUUCUGUUUGUAUAGAUCUCUUUGAAUAAAAGUUCUGGUUGAUGAGGAAUACCAAUAAGCUUUGUUUCAUUAUAUAGAAGGAGAAACUAUUAGGUUAAGACAAGCUCCUGAGCAAUCCAACCAGACACAACACAUGAUUAUGUUUCUAAUCUAUGGUCCCAAGUUGGUAAUCAAUUAUGUCUGCAUUCAACUAGUGGACUAUAGAUAACUUGUGGUUAGAAGACAUGAUCAUGUGGGUAUAAAUUUCCUAUAUGGACAUUUAUAUGACAAGAUUUAGGUACUGAGACAUUAUUGAAGAAUGCAAGAGGCUGUUGAUACUUGGUUAGUAGUCCUGGACAUCUAAAUCAAAUGUGAGUCACAAAAAUAAUAGAUCAAAUAUAUAUUCAGGGGACAUCAAAUCUUUUUUGUGAAGUCAAGGACCAAAAAAAGUGGUUAGAAUUAAUGGUCACUGAUAUAGAUGGAUACAAUUUGCAUCAGACAAGGAAAGACAUGAGCUGGUGAAGCCAAGAUGAAGAGCAUGUAGGUCCUUAGAUUUUCUGGCCAGAAGAAAAAUCAUCGAUUUAACCAUACUUCUGUUUUAUAGGGAAAAUUUAUGAAAUGCGGUGAAUGAAAUUUUUUGGUUUCAGAGAAAAACAGUUGGAAGAAACCGUCACAUUAACUGAUGUUGAAGUUAUCUCUAUAGUCCACUAGUUAAUAUUUUGUUGAUCAAAUAAUUUUGGUGCGUACGUAACGUAAGGGUUCAGUGUCAUUAAAUUUUGUAACGACUUACAACUUACAUGUUACAAAGAUGCUAGAAGUAUCGUUGAUACAUGCAUUAGCUGUCUGCUGCUUAUACAUGUCACAAAGUACUUUCCUCUGUUCAUCAAUCAGGUUUUGGACUUUUCCCAUUUCUUUGGAUUUCAAGUCAAGCUGUUCACUAGAGAUGUUGAUCAGAUUGUUCAAUUUUUUCUUAAGCAUGACUUUUGUUAAGACUCCAGUUAUUCAUCCACAGCCGGAAGCUGCUUACCAGAUUCUUCAAUUUUGGAAAGAAUCAGUAACAAAUUUUUCUUCUUUCUAUUUCUUACAUGCUGAAACCAUACAUGUAGUAAAUAGUAAAUGUAUAAAGUUCAAGAUAUAUAUAAGAGUUUUCAAUUACUCUCAAUAAUGGAAUAUAUGAAGUUAGUGAAUUUUGAAUUUUUGUGAAACAACUUAAAUGAGAGACAAAAUAAGAAUAGUUUGUAUUUCUGAAAUGAUCUGUCUAUCUAAUCCACUAUAAACUUUACAGAAAUUUGCUAAACUCUAAAAUACAAGCAACUGUUGCGUAGUACUACAUUGUUGUUCUUGUGGUUGAAAAGAGCAUCUAGCACUUGAGAUUGACAAUAACAAAGCCUUUUCUGUAUCUUCAUCCAUUCGUCUUUGGAUCAGUUUGACGAGAUACUCUAAAAAGGCCGAAUCGAAUGGUAAUGUGAUUGGUCCUUCCGUUGGGAGACCGAAAUCUUCUUCAGAUAUUUUCAAUAGCUCCUGGACAACAGAGUUGCUCAGAUAACUUAUUGGAAAAGCAAAGCGGAUUUUAUCCGCCGUGUAAACCACGAAACAACCCUUUUCUACAGUAGAAGAGCUGCUAGUAAAGACACUUGAUCUCUGAAAUGAGAUUCUUUUCCUGUGGAGGGCUGCUCUUUGUUGCCAUUUCUUAGCCAUCUUCAUAAGCUUCUUUGCGUUUAUCAUCAUUUUCAGGGAGAGUUAAAGCUUGAGAUUGGAAAGCAAAGUGUGGAGAAAGAAAGAGAAAAGAUAUGUGAGUUCUGUUUGAAAAGCUCUUUGAAUGAAAGUUAUGGUUGAUGAAGAGUACCAAUAAGCUUGUUUCAUUAUAUAGAAGGAGAAACUAUUAGGUUUAGACAAGCUCCUGAGCAAUCUAACCCGACACAACACAUGCUUAUGUUUCUACUCUGUAAGGGUCCCAAGUUGGUAAUCAAUUAUGUCAGCUAAUCAACUUGUGGACUAUACAACUUAUGGUGAGAAGACAUGAUCAUGUGGGUAUGAACCCUAUAUGGACGUUUAUAUGACAAGAGUUAGGUACUUAGAUUGAUGAAGAAGAAUGCAAGAGGCUGUUGUUACAUUAUAUUAUGUAUAUGCAAUAGAAGCCAAAAAAAUGUCAAACUCAAGGUCUCAGGUUGGUUAGUGGUCCAUCAGCUGAAUCAAAUGUGAGUCACAAAUAUAAUGGAUCAAGUACUUAUUCAGGGGACAACAAAUCUGGUUGAAAUUAAUGAUCCGAUAGAGAGAUACAAAGAAAGGCAUGUGCUGGUGGAGCAAAGAUGAAGAGCAUGUAGGUCCUUAGAUUUUCUGGCAAAGAAAAAGACAGUGAGUCAACUAUUCCUGCUAAACUUUCACAUUUCCUUGAGAUAGAUUAAGCUUGGAUCAUAAAAACAUCUCUUGUUUUUAUUACUUUUAAGAGAUUCAUAAGGAAAAAAUGACGAAUGAAAGUUAAGGCACCAUUUUUUAUGACUGAGAGUUGCAGAGCAUAACAGUUAUAGAACCUUCACAACAUGUCAAGAAGUUGAAGUUAUCUCAUUUUUCUCUGUGUACAAUGAAAGUUGACUUUGAUGAGGCAGUCUAAAAGAUAGACAUAAAGAAUAGUUUGUAUUUCUGAAAUAUUCUGUCUAAUCUAAUAAAGUAGAAUCUUUACAAACACAAAAACUGCUACACACGAAUUCUCUAAAAUACAAGCAAUUGUUGAGUACUACGUUCUUGUAGUUUCAAAGAGCAUUGGGAAGAACAUCUAGCACUAGAGAUUGACAUUAACAAAGCCUUUUCUGUGUCUGCAUCCAUUCGUCUUUGGACCAAUUUGAUGAGAUACUCCAAGAAAACUGAAUCGAAUGGCGAUGUGAUAGGUCCACCAGUUGGGAGGCCAAACUCUUCUUCAGAGAUCUUCAAGAGUUCUUGGAAAACAGAGUUACUCAGGUAACUUAGCGGAAAAGCAAAGCGUGUGCUGUCUGUCGUGUAAACCACAAAACAACCCUUCUCUGCAGCGGUUGAGCUAGUAGCACUACUUGAUCUUUGAAAUGAGAUCCUUUUCCUGUGGAGGGCUGCUCUUUGUUGCCACUUCUUGGCCAUCUUGAUUAGCUUUUUUGUGUUCAUCAUUCUUUUCAGGAAAAUAUUUUGUAGAUCCGAAAGCAGAAGGAGAUUUUAACUUGUGUUGUAGAACUCUUUGAAUGCAAGUUAUGAUUGGUGAAGAUUCCCACAGGCUUGUUUCAUUAUAUAUAAGGAGAAACUAUUAUUGUUUUAGAGCAACCAAGCCAGACAGAAACACAUGCCAGGUUUCUUGUUAGUGAUCAUAAGGGUCCCAAGUUAGCAAUCAAUCUUAUUUCAAAUCAACUUGUGGAUUAAAACAUACAUGGUGAGAACUGAGAAGACAUGACCAUGUGAGUAUGAAUCUUGUAAUAAGAACGUUCAUAUGUCACGAUUUAGCUGAUACAAAGGCAUUCAAUAUUCAAUUAAAACCCUUUGAUGUUCCCAGGGAAGUAAAAUCUCUUAACCUGCAGAAACUUCAACGGUUCCUAAGGGUCUCAACUUAUUAAUAAACUAUGUCUGCAAAUCAACUUGUGGACUAUACAACUUCUUCAUGUGGGUAUGAAUACUUUAUGAACCUUUAUAUGACAAGAUUUAGGUACUAUUAUAUUGAUGGAGAAUGCAAGAGGCUGCUGUUACAGUAUAUACAUAAUGAGAACUUAUACAUUACAAGAGAAGCCAAAAAUUACCAAACUCUUGCAUCUGUACAGAUUUGUUUGUUAGCAUAAGGGGUCCAUCGGCUAAAUCAAAUGUUUGUCACAAAGAUAAUAGAUGAAGUACUUAUUACUCAGGGGACAACAAAUCUUUUGGUGAAAUCAAGGACAACAAAUGUGGUUAGAAGUAAUGAUCAAUUAGAUACAAAAGAAAGGCAUGUGCUGAUGAAGCAAGGAUGAAGAGCAUGUAGGUCCAUAAAAUACAGCUACAAUUUCUGGUAAAAUUUCAUAUGUUCUUGUGUAGUCUAUGAGAAACUUGAUGUAAGGUAAUUCGUAGUGAAAGGCGUUUUACUCCCGCUGCAUCAUUUUUCUUGAAAGAUAGUAUCAGAGUAUAUAUGUCUUCAAAGAAGGAGAUAUGUUUUAGUGAAAUGGGUCAAAGAUUGUUCUUAAGACCUUAGGCUGAAACUGCGAGAACAUGUGACAUUGAAGUUAAAUUUAGAUGAGACAAUCUAAACGAGUGAGAGAGAGACAAAUAUAUAGUAGUUUGUAUUUUUGAAAUGAUCUGUCUAUCUAAUACAGUAUAAUUUUUUACAGAGGAAAAAAUGUCUACACUCUAAUUCUCUAAAAUACAAGUAAUUGUUGGGUAUAACCACUCUGUUGUUCUUGUGGUUGCAUAGAGCAUCUAGCACUAGAGAUUGACAUUAAAAGAGCUUUUUCUGUAUCUCCAUCCAUUCUUCGUUCGAUAAAUUUGAUGAGAUACUCCAAGAAAACCGAGUCGAACGGCAACGUGAUUGGUCCACCCGCCCUGAGGCCGAACUCUUCUUCAGAUAUCUUCAAGAGCUCUUCGAAAACAGAGUUGUUCAAGUAACUUAACGGAAAAGCAAAGCGGAUUUUAUCAACCGUGUAAACCACGAAACAGCCCUUCUCCACAGCAGUUGAGCUGCUAGUAGUAGUAGUAGUAGUAGUAGUAGUAGUAGUUGAUCUUUGGAAUGAGAUUCUUUUCCUCUUGAGGGCAGCUCUUUGUUGCCAUUUCUUGGCCAUCUUGAGUAGUUUCUUAGUGUUGAUCAUCUUUACUAAUAGAAAGAGAGCAAACAAAAAAGGGAUUGUAAGUUGUGUUGUAGUAUAAAUCUCUGAAGUAAUGAAAGUGGUGAAUGAUGAAGAAUGCUCUAAGCUUUGUUGCAUUUUAUAUAUAAAGAGAAAGUAUUAGAGUUUUAGAUAUAAUUAAGAGCAACCAAAGAAGACAGAAACACAUGCUCUUGUAGUUCUUGUCUAAAGAGGUCCCAAACUAGUAAUCAAUCAUAUCUGCUAAAUCAAUUUGUGGAUUAGAAACCAUUAACAUGGUGAGAAGAAACAUGACCAUGUGGGGGUAUUAAAUCAAUGUUACAAAGACAUUUGAAGGUGAAAGAAAAGAUGCGGGUCCUCUCAUGUUCUCAGAGAUGUAAAAAAACCUUAAACCUAGAGAAAUUUUUGGAAUACCGGUUUAAUUAAAUGUAAACCGAACUGAACCGAAAACCCUUAUUAGCUACCUGUGAACUGCCUCUUAUAUAAAGCCGUCGCUGACAAUCUCAUAGGAGACUCGAGAGAGUCCUAAACUUUCAAAACUAGUGAUUAUCUUCGAGUCAUGUCAUGUUAGCGUUUAGGGGUUUUGUGUGUCUAUCCACAUGUUUUCUGCUUCUAUAUAAACCCUAACGCUCUCGAUACUCUAGUUGUUGUGUAAGUAGGUGUUGUUUUGUGUCUAUGUUUCUUCGUUAGCUCAGAUUGAGGAAAGUGAUGAUAAGGAAUUGUCGCCCCAGGCUUAAUCUGCAUCCAUUACGAUGGUUGUAACAUGGUGAUUGACUAUCUCUGUCUGAUUCUUCGAAUCUUUUCUUAGAUUGUUUUAUAAUGUUUGUGAAUGGAUAUGACGAAAUGGCAAUAAUGUUUUGUGACACCCAGUCUGAUCUUCGUGAUUGAUCUGCCAUAUUUUCUGAUCCUAAUUCUUCUUCAGUUUUGUGGAUUUUGAUUCAAAGUUUUGAUUUUUGAAAGGGAGGGAUGAGGAUAUAAUUCCAUACGUCUGCAAAUCUGAAACACAGUGUUGAUACAAUUGACAUGCACUACCAUCUGACCUCUGUUUUAUUGUUGUUUUCAAUACCCUUUUGUUAGUUGUCUGCAAUCAGUGAUGAAAUUAUGUCAAAUUCAAUGAUUAUACAAUGAUUAUUAUAAUCACUAGAUCACCAUCUUUCGGCUGAGAUUGCAGUUUUUCUUUUUUGGAAUUAUUGUUUGUGUUAUUGUUGACGAUUUGCCUAUGGUAUCUGAUGUCCAAAGUUUGAUAAUUGUGUUUGGACAUUUCGUUUUUCUUAGGCAGAAAGUGAUUUCAGGCUUUGCGACACUGUUAGCUUAUCACAUAAGCUACCUGUUACUUUUAAUACCUGGUUACAUCCUAUUUUUCAAUAUCAAUGUUGUUUUCGUUUUGUUUAUAUUCCAUCUUGUUUGGUGGUUACAUUCCAAAUCUUUUUGUAAUAGCAUCCUCUGUGUUUGACUUUAGUUUGAUCUUAUGAAGACUCUUUGACUCAAUCCCAAUCUACUGAUGCUUCUGUGUUUUAUUGUCAAGUUCAUGUAAGCGUGGUUACUUCAGAAAGUGAAGAGCAUUGCUUGGACUUCAAUGGGAUUUACAUUGGUAUUUACUGGAUUGUCAGAGUCCGCCCAAGUGCUUAUUGGACUAUCUGGAGUUACUCCUAUCUGUAUCAUGAAUUCUUAUGUAAUUUUUCUGUGACGUGUAAUGAUUAUUGUUCCACUGAUAUUAAAAGAUGAUGACAGAGUUAUUACCCUUUUGAACCUUGUUGGUAUAUAAGUUAACUUCACUGUCCGGAAUCUAUACUCUUUUGUUUGGACCCGAAAUUUACAUGUGACAAUUAAGUUUGAGCAAAUGAAAUACACAAUGCUUAUGGUUUGAUGUGUUGGUCUUUGAGGACCUUUACUCCCUAGCUGGAGUUUUCCAAAAUCUGUCACAUUAGUGUCUCUUCUCUAUGCUUCAUAUCAACCAUUGUCUCCUUUCCCCUUGCCUUUCAGUUUCAGUAUCUCUCAUCACUUGUUGAGCUUGAUUCUUGAUAACAAAGAUUGACAGAAUUGGAAUAUAAGGACUGUUGUUGGACCAAAAUCAAAUGACUUUGAACACAAUUGUUGGAUCGUAAAAGGCUUUGACAGAGGAAGAUUGCAGCACUUCUUACACAGAGGAAAUGCUUGCUUGAAUAAGAAGAAUAAGGAUUCUAUGUGUGUUGUUUAGGACCAAAGCAAAAGCUCAUUAUACGAUAAGAUUACACUUUUGUCUUGUAUACAACUUUCUUCAAUGCAAAAAAGGGAUACAAAUAUUCGACUAAUACAUGUAAGAAACAAUCAAUUGGAUCGUAAAAGGAACAACUGUCGACUAUAUUAACCCACACUCUUCUUCGUUUCCUUGAUCUCAAGCUAUUGCCGACUGAAUGGUCUCGGCCUCUGUAGGACGCCACCAUGACUUCUGAACAGAGAGCAAUCCUUCUCCAUCUUUGGAAUGUGUCAUUCUUACAUUCCAUUUCAUCGAUUUCACCAUCUUCUCAAUUUCUCCUAUCGUUUCCAUGUCAUCUCUUACUAUGAAAGUUCCUUGUGGUCUAAGAAUCCGGUCUACUUCAGCCAUCACGCCCACCAAGUUGCACCUAGAGAGAAUUUGUGUAUACAUAGACAUCAAAGUUUGCAAUCAAGAAUAUAGAGAUAGAGACAAAGGAGAUGAAUAAACGUGUAUAUACCUCUUUUUCAGUGAAGAGAAAAGAUGAUCAGCGUGAAGGAGGUCGUAAGUCCGAGGGUAAGUGCUGAAUGAUUCACACCAAUCAUGAUAGAUUCCAAACAAACCACGUUCGUAUAUAAUCGGAAGGGUAUCAGGUGAGUCGAUAGGAACUACAUUCAUCACCCACAGUUUCAGAUCCUUCAAUGCAGCAGCAAAACUGAAAACCAAAAAGAGAUAUCAUUAAAAACGAAUCAAGAGAGCCAAUUUUGUUUUGAUGUAAGAUAGUAUAAGCUUUUGCUUACCCUCCAUAGACUGCUCUCAUGUCCAUCACAUUUCUAACAUAAGACCAAUCGAUUCCCAUACCGUUGAGGUAUGACUUUGAAACAAUAGUCUUCCAGCGUUCAUGGUCUGCUGUGAAAUCCUCUUGUGCAGGUUUUCCAUAUACUCCUUCCUGAGAAUCUAACCACUGAGGAACCGUCUCCACUCUUUCCGGCCAACUUUCAGGCCAAACUGCUCCGCGUUUUGAUGAAUCUUCUGUUACUUUGUGAAUACAUGCCUCAAGUGGAACAUUCCUGCAUCAAACCAAAAAUGUUAGCAACAGAACUGCAUUGGAUUACUAUUCAAUUGUCAAUUGAUGUAAGAAGGGAAAUAGAUAAACUACCAGGCGGCAUUUUGAUCAUCAGAGUCUUUGCAGAGAGGUGGCUCAUUUUGAGAUCUUUCAUUGUAGCAUUUAUUCGACAUUGGCUUCUGGUAAAUGGCAGCACCAACUUCAUUCAGUUCAUCUUUCUUAAUCGUCAUCAGUUCCCAGCACAUUGCCUUUGUUAGCUUCGACAUAGCUAUAAACAGAGAACACCAUCUCACAAGUUAGUUAAAAAUAAAUUGCCCAGCCUUAUCCAUGGCCAAAGAAAAGAGAAUAAAUUUCUCAACCUUUCCAUAUGCCAACAUCUUCCUCAGUCUUCCUAUAGACUGGAGUCGCUGACCAGACAAAGAAACCACCCGGCCUCAAUGCACGGUUCAACUCCAAAAGUAGUUUACCACCUUCAAUUCAGACGACCAAAAAGAGGUUAUUUCAAUGAAACAAAAAAUAAAGACAGAAUUACACAACCAAUAUGAAAAACUUUUUACCUUCGAUAUGCCAAGGAACUCUACAACGAGCACAAUGGAUAAGGUCAAAAACAGAUCCUGGAAAAGGUAAUCUCUUGGUUCCCAUAACAUUUGACAUUGCAGGAAUACCACGUUCCAGAGCAAAUUGCACCUGUGCCUCGUGUUCGUCUUUGGGUGCAAAUGACAAAGCGAGUACAUCUCUGUCAAAAAGAUAUCCCCCAAAGCUAGCAACCCCACACCCAACAUCCAAUAUAACACGAGUCCUAUUUCCCCAAGCAAUAUCAGGAUAUGACUGCAAAAGUAUAUAAUAAUAACGUCAAUAGUCAAAUGAGAAAGUUGUGUAAACGUUGCAUGAAAGAUCAAUCAAUAAUAAGUUGUACCUCUUGGAGGAAAUCAAUGUAGUGAAGAGCACCAUUCUUGAAUUGAGUACCUCCACCAGGGAAUGUUAAGUAUUCACCACUCAUCUUCACCCAGUUUUGAUGUCCCUUGACUUCUGCAAGCUUGGUGUGUGGAAUAUUGGUGUACCAGAUCUGUGGCAACAGAAAACAGAAUAAUAAAUUGAUAUCAUUCACAAAUAAUAUAAAGGAGGAUAAGGAGGUUUUUGUCUUCCUUAUAUGCAUAUUGAAUUUUUACCUUUUCUCUGCUCUUAGGCCACUUGAUGGAUCGCUUAUACCCUUCGGGAAGAGAAACAAGGCAGCGUGGAGACUCCUCGGGACAAUGCCUCUCACGAUGUUCAUAAUGCUUUGUCGAAUGAAGCUUUCUGAUAGCUUGCCAAUUGUCAAGGCAAGGGAUGUAGUCUGGUCCAGCUGUCACAUUGCAGACUUUCCAUUUAAUUGAGGACACUUGUGCUUUCUUCUCGUUCUGGGAUUCCACCAAUUGGGUAGACCAAGCCCCACUUCCAGUGCUUGACUCCUUUGUGAUUUCAGCCUGGUCACCAGCUGGGAAAACAUCCUUACUCUUCUCAGUGCUCUCUUCAGUUUCACCAGCGUUUUCUUCUGACUUCUUCUCGGUGUUUUCUUCAGAUUCACCAGCAUUCUCUUCGGUUCCAUUACUAUCCUCAGAUUUGUUUUCUUCUGAGCUCUCUUCCAGUUGUGUUUUCUCUUUUUGCUUGGUUUCAUCACUUUCUGAUUCCGUGUCUUUCUCACCGUCUCCAUUUUUUCUAUCCCCAUCACCAUUUUUGUCAUCAAACUCCUUUCUUUCCUCAGCCGACUCCGUUUUCUCACCAGAGUUCUCCUCACCAGAUUUCUCAGGAUCAGUCUUCUCUUCGUUGGUCUCUGUCACAACCUCCGUCUCCUCAUUCUUUUCAUCCGGAAAACUCUUGGAACCUCGAUCAACCUCUUCACUUUUGAAAUCACUCUUAGUAGUAUCUACAUCUUUUGUCCUCUCGUUUGCAGAGAAGUCAAUAGACUCAGUUGGAGCAGACCAUGAAGACAUGAACAUCCACGCCCCAACCAAACAUAGAGAAACAAUUAAAACGAUGGUAAUGGUUAAGCCAUAUCCCGAUGACUUCUUCCCGUCUACACGAGAAUACUUCCCCAUUGCCAUGAUCCUAAACCCACGGCACAAUCCCUAGUCACAUGCACCUGCAACAACAAAGUACAAUGGCAUUAGUGACCAGUAAGAGUAUCAAUCAAAAAGGUAUGGUUUUGACGGAUUAAGUCCAAUGUCUAAGUUUAAGCAAAUAAUUGCAGAUCUAGAAAAACAGAAACUAAACCAAGUCCGCAAGAUCAUAUACCACAAUCACACUUGAUUUACACGUUUAACGAACAAAUCGAACAUUAGGAAAACUAAAAUCACAGUAGUUUAAAACAAAAUUAAGAGCAAAGAGAGUUUAAGAAGUAAAAGGAACAAGAAAAGCUCAUGUACAUAUCCGAAUCUUGCAUUUGUAGAGAUACCCAGAAGCAAGAACAUCAAAAGAAAGAGAGAGAGAUACUCACCAGAGAAAAAGGGUUGCCUCAGAUCUCCCCAAAGAAUGAAACUUUAUGAGCAGAGAGUAGAGAAAGUUCCAGAUCCGGAUCUAGUAGAAAGAACCAGAGAGAGUAAGAUACAAUGAUCCUACUAGAUUGCAAAGUUUUUAUAUCGCAGGAGCAAGUGGUGAGUGAGCAGCAAUCGUACUAGUUACUCAGCAUAGUUACGGUGUUAAAAUACCAGAAUUUGGAUCUGAUUUCACACCAAAAUUUAAAAAUUAUCAAUUUUGGUUUACGAAGAUUGUUUGUUUAUUCACUAAACUUAACCCGCCGUCGGUCACCGACAUAAAGCGACUUGAGGAAGAAAUAUUUCUCAGUUCGCACAGGAAACGGCGUCGUUUUUUAUGGAGCAAAACAGCUAAGCUCAUGAAGAAAACUCGAUAAGGUCCAUUAGGCCUACUUUUCCUGUCAAAUUUAACAACACAAAUAAAUAAAAUUGUGAGACUAAGUUUAUCGCAAAGCCCAUAUCAGAUUAAUUAACUAUUUGGGUCAAAACCCAUAUAGUCUAAGUGGCUUAAGUAUGUUGGAUUAAACUUGAAGAAGAUAACUUAAGGAAUAAAUUAUUAUUGAAAAAAGAUAUAAAAGCCCAUUAGGCCCAUUUUUCCUAUCAAAUUUAACAACAUUAAAUAAAUAAAAUUGUGAGACUACUUUCUAGAGUGAGGAGUUUAUCGCAAAACCCAUAUCAGAUUAAUUAACUAUUUGGGUCAAAACCCAUGUAGUCUAAGUGGCUUUAACACCAAGGCGGUAGAUUUUUAGUAGAAACUCAUACAAUUAAAAAAAUAAAAAUAUUUAAAAAUUAAGAUAGAUAUGAGAGAAUCUCUAAAAUUCCUAAUUUUAGGAUCGUUUAUACAAUUUCUAUACGUUAGUUUUUUUGUUUUUUGGAUAUAAAAGUAAAAUAUUAAUUUUUUUUUUUUCCAGAAACUAUAUGAACCCUAUAUAGUAGAAACUCUAUAAAUUAAUACUCGAUAAAUUAAUAAACACGAUAAAUUAAUAAAUUUUGUCGGUCCCAAGUCGGGCCAAUGUAAAAAUUAACCAAAAUCGAUAAGAUAAUAAGAUAAUAAUUUUUUUGAAAUCCCUAUGUAAAAUUAUAGUCCCAAUAAUAUUAUAAAUUAAUAAUCAUAGAUCUUAAGUUUAUAUUUUAAGACUCAUUUUUAUAUGAAAUUUUUGUUCAAGUUACAAUUACAACUUUUUAAAAAUACAACUAGUAUGAUCUUUGUUGUACUCACAUAACUAUUUGCAUAUUUGAUCCGUCAUAGUUGAUUUUGUAAAAUCUUUUAUUUGAGAAAGCAUUGCUAAGAUUUGUGUAAAGAGAAAUUGGAUUAAGCUUCAUGUUUACGUUCACGUUAAUGUCGUAGAUAUACAGACACAAUAUCUUGCCGAAAAAUAAAUUAAAAAAGUCAAAGAAAAAUAAAAAUCUAACAUAAGUAUAUAUGCAAACAACAAAACAUAUAGAAAAUUAAAUUAAUAACAUUUUUAAAAGAAUAUAGUAUUGUAUUUACGUAAAUAUAUCUAUAAAUUAAUAUUUAUUAACUUAUACGAUAAAUUUAUUAAUUUAUAGGAUAAAUUAAUAUCACUAUAAAUUAAUAAAAUUGCAUGGUCCCAACAUUAUUAAUUUAUAGAGUUUCUACUGUACGUUGGACGUGCUCUAAGUAUGUUGGAUUAAGUUUGAAGAAAAUAACUUAAGGAAUAAAUUAUUAUUGAAAAAAGAGAUAAAAGAUAGGAUAUUUAGGAGUUAUCUAAGAAAAUUUUUGUUUAGGAGUUAUGAGUUAUCUAAACAAUUAGGUUUUGGUUUUAAGUUUCUUAUAUAAGGAGUUAUCGAGAUGUGAUAGUCCUUAUGAGUUUUGUGAGAGAGAUUUGAGAGAACCAAAAGAGAGCUUUAGUUUUGAGUUGAUUUUCUAAAGCUAAUAAAGAGAGGAAUUUUUUAACUUGUGUGUUCUGAAGUUCAAAUAAGCGGAGAUCAAACCGAGAUAGACAAUGAUGCGAUUAAUACAAAGCAAGAAAAUCAGAAUGAUGAAGGUACUCGAGAAGAAGAGAUGGAGAAUGUGAACAACAAUCCGGUUCAAGUUGAAAACGUGUUGAGAAGAUCAGAGAGACCAACUUCAAGACCUAAGUAUCUUGAGGACUACGUGUUACUUGCAGAAGAGGAAGGAGAAAGGCUGUUGUUGUGUCUGAAUAAUGAGCCAAGAGAUUUUUAUGAAGCUAGAGAAUCACGAGAAUGGAUGCUUGCUUGUGAGGAUGAGAUUUAGUCUACAAAGAAAAAUCAGACAUGGGAGUUUGUUGAACUUCCGGUUGGUGCAAAAGCCAUUGGCUUAAAAUGGGUCUUCAAACUAAAAAGAAACUCAGACGGAAGCAUUAACAAGUACAAGACCCGACUUAUCGCAAAAGGAUAUGUCCAGUGAUACAGAAUCGAUUUCGAUGAAGUUUUUGCUCCAGUGGCUCGAGUUGAGACAAUAAGGAUUCUUUUAAACCUUGAAGGGUCAAACAAUUGGGAAAAUCACUAUCUCGAUGUUAAGACAGCUUUCUUACAUGGUGAGUUAAAAGAAACCGUAUAUGUCAACACAACCAGACGGAUUCCAAGAGAAUGGGGAUGAAAGAAAAGUUUAUAAGCUGAAGAAAGCAUUGUAUGGCUUAAGACAAGCUCCGAGAGCCUGGAAUAACAAGCUAAAUCAAAUUCUUCAAGAACUACAGUUUGAAAAAUGCUCUAAGGAACCAUCGUUCUAUCGAAGAGAAGUAAGUGAGAAUCUUCUAGUUGUGGCAGUUUAUGUUGACGAUCUAUUUAUUACAGGAACUAAUGUUGCGAUCAUAGACGAGUUCAAAAGGGAGAUGAGCGCGAAGUUUGAUAUGAGUGAUCUAGGGAAAUUGACGUAUUAUCUCAGAAUCGAAGUGUGUCAACAUGAAGGAAGAAUAACUUUGAAUCAAAGGCGUUAUGCUUUGAAAAUUUUAGAAGAAGCUGGGAUGAUGAUGAAGUGUAACUUGCUGAACACGCCAAUGGAGUCAGGAUUACAAUUGCGAGAAAGAGAUCGACGCUACAUGGUACAGGAAAAACGUGGGCUGCCUUCGCUACCUACCACACACAAGACCAGAUUUGAGUUUUUGUGUGGGAGUUUUGAGCCGUUAUAUGCAAGAACCGAAGGAAUCCCACAGAGCAGCAAUGAGGCAUUGUCUAAGGUAUCUACGAGGCACCACCACUCUCGGCCUGAAGUUCAACCGAUCGUCAACAAAGGUACCAAAGCCAAUAGGGUAUAGUGACAGCAGCCAUAACGUUGAUCCCGACGAUGGGAAAAGCACAUCUGGUCACAUUUUCUACCUUGGAGGAAGUCCGGUUUCAUGGUGCUCUCCAAAACAAGAUAUUGUAGCAAUGUCUUCAUGUGAAGCUGAGUUUAUGGCAGCAACAAAAGCAACAAGACAGGCAACAUGGCUCCAAGAUUUGCUUAGUGAGGUUACGGGGUUAACAUAUGAGAAGACUCUCAUUCGAAUCGACAAUCAAUCCGCCAUUGCACUUACCAAGAAUCCCGUUUUCCAUGGACGAAGUAAACAUAUUCAUAGAAGUUAUCAUUUCAUAAGGGAACAAGUUGAAAGCGGUCAAGUGGAAGUGAAACAUGUUCCUGGUAAUGAACAGAAGGCUGACAUCUUAACAAAGGCCUUUGGGAGAAUGAAGUUUAAAGAGAUGAGAGAUCUCAUUGGUGUUCAAGAAGUGGUUGAAUGUGACUUCAAGCUUAAAGGGGAUAAUGUUGGAUUAAGUUUGAAGAAGAUAACUUAAGAAUAAGUUAUUAUUGAGAAAAGAGAUAAAAGCUAGGAUAUUUAGAGUUAUCUAAAUAUUUGUUUAGGAGUUAUCUAAAACAAAUAGGUUUUGGUUUUAAGUUUCUCAUAUAAGGAGUUAUGGAGAUGUGAUAGUCCUUAUGAGCUUUAUGGAGAGAUUUGAGGGAACCAAAAGAGAGUUUUAGAUUUGAGUUGAUUUUCUUUAACUUGUGUGUUCUUAACAAAUCUAGUAAAACAAAGUAGGCGGCUUAAGUUUACAGUGAGAGAAACUCAUAUAUAAAAGUUGUUGUUUCAAUUUCCCAUAAAAAUAAGAGGAGUGAUCAGAGACUAGAACGUAUUUCUCCUUGUGCGUUUAAACCCUUUGUUUCUUAGUUCGUCGAGAGAUAUGAAGAUUGCUACGACAUCAAGUGCUUUCGAUUUGUUGCCCAAGGAUCAGAAAUACAAAACCAAACGUGUUAGUUACAACGAUUUCUCAGACCUCUCCUUCUUACCCGUAGUAAACCCUAAGAUCAAGAGACAAAAGAAGACUCUGGAAGAAGAAGUGGACUCAACUUCUAAGGUAAUAUCGGUCUUCUUAAACCCUAGUUUCCAACCGUUUGUUUUUUAAUUUAGGGUGAACUAUUUGCUUACGUUUUUUCCUUUUAUUAAAUCUUUCAGGCGAAAUCUAGCAGGACGAGUCUUACCAAAUCAGUUACAACAACAACAAAGUUGACAAAACCGGAGGAAACAAUCACGGCUUCUUCGAAAGAGUGUCUUCAAGAAACAAAGACGAAUAAGAAGCCUGAUUUGAGAGACUUGAUCGCCAAGGCACAAGAAAAAAUCCAAAACAAAAGGGAGAUUAAUCAUCGAAGAGAAUACAUCACAAGACAGAGGAUAGCUGCACGCUUAGCUCUAAACCAGAUGGUAGCAACCGUUAGCUUUGACGAUCAUCUCAACUAUCAUAGAGAAAUGGAACAGCGUGGCUACACAUUUAUUCAAGAUCAAGUUGAUAACUUGAACAUGUUCAGUUUAUGGUCAAGAAGCGAUUACAAUGGUAUCACUAACUCUGUCUUGGAAACGAGCAAUACGACAAUGCGGUCUGAUGAAGAUUCAUCGAGAAAGAAGCAGCAGAUCAUCAAAAAAAAGAGCAACACAUUCCCUACAGAUGUCAAAGAACAUUGAAUCUGCUGAGAGCAGUAAUCAGAGUCAAAGCUCAGAAAGUGUGAUCAUUUAGAUAUAGAGUAAUACUGUAUGUCCGAAUACAGUUUUGGUAUAAUUUGUGUGAUUGUGCUCAAUGCAAUCUACAUAUAAGCAUAUUAGAUAAAACAUGUUUGAUAUCAAUCUUUUAACACGUAGGUUUGAGAAUAAUUCUGUCUAUACUAUUUGCAAAUUUUCUUGCUUUCUUGUUUUCAUAUCAUAAUCAAUAGGAAGAGUUGCAAGGUUUUUGAUUCAAUCCCAUUCCACUGAUGCUUCUGUGUCUUACUGAUAAGUUCAUGUAAGCGUGGUUUAGCUACAUUACUGGAAUAUCAAAGUUCCAGCAAGCUAAGUUGUUAUUAUUGUCUUUGGAGUUGCUCUUAUUUGUAUCAGACUCUUCUUUAGUAAUUUUACAGUAACUUCAAUCAAAGACAAAAACCUGUAUGAGAAUCUUUCCAUUGAUGUUAAAUUCAAUCUAGAUGCGUUUACUAUGUUCUUUGCAACCAUAAGAACAACAAAGUAACACUACUAAUAUAGUACAACACAAUGAAUAACUUGAUGAAUAUAAUGGCAAGUCUCUGCAACAUCUUUUGUUAGAUUCUCAUGAAAAAAAGGUUUUAGACGUUUUAGUUUUCUUUUUCAUUCCCAAUUUAUUCCUUAACUAAUCUAGACACUAGGAAUCUACUGAAAUUUCUUCAGGUUUAUGGUUUUAACUUCUCUGAGAACAUCAAAGGGCCUACAAGUUCUGCAUCUUUCAUUCACUUGCACAUGUCUUUGUAUCUACGCAUUUCUGUAAAAGAUUCAUAAUCGUAUCCACAUGAUCACGCCUUUUCCACAGAAGUUUCAAUCCACAAGUUGAUGAGCAGCAUGGUUGGUUAGUGGUUACUAACUUUGGAACCCUUUUUAAUCACAUACAACAAAGACAAAAGCAUGUGUUAUGUCUGGUUUAGGUGCUCCAAUUUUAUCUAACUUAAAAUAGUUUUUCCUUAUAUAUAAUGCAACAAGCCUAUUGGAUUCUUCAUCAACCAUAACUUGCAUUCAAAGAGUUAUACAAGACAACUUACAAGCCUCUUUUGCUUUCCAAUCUAAAAAACACUUCUCCCUAAACAUAAUGAUGAACACAAAGAAACUCAUGAAGAUGGCCAAGAAAUGGCAACAGAGAGCAGCCUUAAGGAGGAAAAGAAUCUCAUUCCAGAGAUCAAAUUCUACUACUAGUAGCUCAUCCGCGGUAGAGAAGGGCUGUUUUGUGGUUUACACUGCGGAUCAAGUACGCUUUGCUUUUCCGAUAAGUUACCUGAGUAACUCUGUUAUUCAAGAGCUCUUGAAGAUAUCUGAAGAAGAGUUUGGUAUUCCCACAGAAGGACCAAUCACGUUGCCAUUCGAUUCGAUUCGAUUUUCUUGGAGUAUCUCAUCAAAUUGAUCAAAAGACGAAUGGAUGGAGAUACAGAAAACGCUCUUAUAACGGCAAUCUCUAGUGCUAGAUGUUCUUCACAAUGCUCUAUGCAACUUCAAAAACAUACUAGUACUCAGCUUGUGUUUUAGAGAAUUAGUAUCAAGCAAUUUCUUUGUUUGUAAAGAUUCUACUGUAUUACUAGAUUAGACAGAUCAUUUCAGAAAUACAAAACAUCAUUUUUGUCGUCUCUUUUAGACCGUAUCAUCAUAUGAAAGUAAACUUCAGUAUCACUUCUUGUCACAGUUCCAUCUUUGUGUCAUUUUACUGACACAUUAUUCCAACUUCUUUUAGCACAUAAUAUGUUCUGAAACUGUCUAUCAUGUAAAAUGGUGCAGCGGCUUCAAAUUUCUUUAACUCAAUCGUUUCAUACAUCAACCAACUCUGGAACAAGAAAUCUGUGAAAAAAGCAACAUAUAGAUUACACAAGAACAUGUCGUUUGCACAAUCUGAACAUAAUCGAUUGUAGCAGGAAUGUUUGACUCUGAUGUCUUUUUCCAGAUUUUAAGCACACAAGUGUUUGAUUUAUCUAUUUAAUCUAUUGAUUUUAACCAGAUUUGUUUUUCCCUGAAUAACUUACUUGAUCUAUUAUUGAUUUAGCUGAUGGAACUAGUAACCAACAUCAUGGGACCCUUAAGCAAACAUGAUUUUGGUUUUUGGCUGCUCUUGUCUCCAAGACUUAUCUGCUUGACAAGUUAUCAACUACACAUAUUAAAAUGUAACAACUGUCUCUUGCAUUCUUCAUCAAUGUAUUAGUACCUAACUCUUGUCAUAUAAAUGUCCAUAUAGAAUUUUGAUACCCACAUGAUCAUGUCUUCUCAGUCCUCAAAAGAAGUUGUAUAGUCCACCAAUUCAUUUGCAGACAUGAAUGAUUACUUACCAACUAACUUAGGACCCCUCUGACUUAUGAUCACAUAAGAGAAGAAACAUAAGCAUGUGAUGUGUCAGGUUAGGUGCGUAGUAGCUUGUCACAAAGUCUGUCUAAAUCUAUUAAGCUCUUCUUCUAUAUAAUACAACAAAGCUUGUAGCAUUCUUCAUCAAUCACAGCUUGCACUAAUACAAAGAUUUCUGCAACACAACUUUUCAAGUAGUAUCUUUUUGCUUUCCCAGAGAAUAAUGAUGAACACAAAGAAGCUAAUCAAGAUGUUCAGGAAAUGGCAACAGAGAGCAGCUCUCCACAGGAAAAGAAUCUCAUUCCAAAGACCAAGUACCCGCUCAACCACUGUAGAGAAGGGAUGCUUUGUCGUUUACACGGCGGACAACACACGCUUUGCUUUUCCGAUAAGCUACCUAAGCAACUCUGUAUUUCAAGAGAUUUUGGAGAUAUCUGAAGAAGAGUUUGGCCUCCCAACCGGUGGACCAAUCACAUUACCAUUCGAUUCGGUUUUUUUGGAGUAUCUCAUCAAAUUGAUCAAAAGACGAAUGGAUGGAGAUACAGAAAAGGCUUUGUUAAUGUCAAUCUCUAGUGCUAGAUGUUCUUUGCAAAAACAAGAACAGAGUACUCAACAAUUGCUUGUAUUUUAGAGAAUUAGUGUGUAGCAGUUUUUGUGUUUGUAAAGAUUCUACUGUAUUAGAUUAGACAGAUUAUUUCAGAAAUACAAAGUAAAGUAUUAUUUGUGUCUCUCUUUUAGACUGCCUCAUCAAAACCAACUUUCAUUGUAAACAAAGAAAAAUGAGAUAACUUUUACUUCACUUGAUGAAUCUUUCAUUCAUCACAAUUUCAUCAAUUGUCCUUAUGAAUCUUUUGGAAGUGUAAUACAAGACUGAGAAAGAACUAAUACGAACACGGUAUCUUUUCUGAUCCAAGCUUAAUCUCAAGGAAAUGUGAAUAGUUGAUUCACUAGCUAUUUUUGUUUCCUGGCCAGACACUCUUUAGAAACUACUGCUACAUGUUUUUCAUCUUUGCUUGACCAGCACAUGCCUUUCUUUGUUUCUUUCUAUCGGAUCAUUAAUUAUCACCAGAUUUGUUGUCCGAUUGUCCCCUGAAUAAGUGAAACAAAUCUAUUAUUUGAUUUACCUGAUGGACUACUAACCAACCUGGGAAUCUUAUCCUUCACAAAAAAAAAAAAGUUGUACAGAUGCAUGAGUUUGGUAUUUUUGGCUUCUCUUGUAUUAUAUGAUAUAAUGCAUCAACAGCCUCAUGUUUUCUUCAAUAAUGUCUCAGUACCUAACUCUUGUCAUAUAAACGUCCGUAUAGGAUUCAUACCCACAUGAUCUUGUCUUCUCACCAUAAGUUGUAUAGUCCACAAGUUGAUUAGCUGACAUAAUUGAUUACCAACUUGGGACCCUUACAGAGUAGAAACAUAAGCAUGUGUUGUGUCGGGUUAGAUUGCUCAGGAGCUUGUCUAAACCUAAUAGUUUCUCCUUCUAUAUAAUGAAACAAGCUUAUUGGUACUCUUCAUCAACCACAACUUUCAUUCAAAGAGCUUUUCAAACAGAACUCACAUAUCUUUUCUCUUUCUUUCUCCACACUUUGCUUUCCAAUCUCAAGCUUUAACUCUCCCUGAAAAUGAUGAUAAACGCAAAGAAGCUUAUGAAGAUGGCUAAGAAAUGGCAACAAAGAGCAGCCCUCCACAGGAAAAGAAUCUCAUUUCAGAGAUCAAAUGUCUUUACUAGCAGCUCUUCUACUGUAGAAAAGGGUUGUUUCGUGGUCUACACGGCGGAUAAAAUCCGCUUUGCUUUUCCAAUAAGUUAUCUGAGCAACUCUAUUGUCCAAGAGCUCUUGAAAAUAUCUGAAGAAGAGUUCGGUCUCCCAACGGAAGGACCAAUCACAUUGCCGUUCGAUUCGGUUUUCUUGGAGUAUCUCAUCAAACUGAUCCAAAGACGAAUGGAUGGAGAUACAGAAAAGGCUCUGUUGAUGUCAAUCUCUAGUGCUAAGUGUUCUUUACAAUGUUCUUUGCUACAGCAAGAACAGAGUACUCAACAAUUGCUUGUAUUAUAGGGUUUCUUAAAAGAACAUAUAGUUUUGUAAAUAUUCAGAUAUUUUUAUACUUUAUACAAGAUAAACAUUACCACUAUUCUCUCAGGAAAAAUUAAGUUCACUUUUAAGCUUUACGUAAAUGUUGGAUUUUCUCUGUUAGUAGUUAGUUAAUUACCUAAUCUUAGUCUCCUAAAAUUUGGAUAUUUCACAAAAGUACCAACUCGAAAUUCUAAAAAUUCUUCAAAAUCGUUGAGAAUUGUUUAAGAAUAAAUACCAUGUCCCAAUUGGAUAAAAAGCAAAUAAUAAGGAGACAUAAAACUGCUAAAGAAUCUAACUUUUGUCUUCUGUAAGAACAUCUUAAAAAACUCUUGAAACUUGAAUAAUACUUUCUACAUGUACAAAGAGCAAAGCCAAGAAUCUUUGGUUCAAUAGAUUUUGCCUUGAACUUGAAGCUAUGAACUUUACAACUCUCUAAUAAACCUUUCUUUUAUUAUCAGCAGCCUUAACAAGAAACGAACAAUGCAAGUUAGUAUAUAAAGUAGCUUCAUUAUGCCCCAUUCCAAACAUAAGAACAAACUUCAUCUUCUUCAUUCUUCUUUCUUCUCUUUUUGUCCCGCUUUCGUAGUUUUUCAAAAGGCGAAAUGGCGGGUGAGCAAAUCAAACCUGUUGCCUCUGGACUUCUAGUUUUGAACUUCUGCAUGUAUGUGAUCGUUCUAGGCAUUGGAGGAUGGGCCAUGAACCGAGCCAUCGACCAUGGAUUCGAAGUCGGUAAGAAUUUGGUUGAAAUUCAGAUUUAUCGAUUCUGAUUCCUUACCGUUUCUUGAAUUAGUAUGCUUUUGGCACAAACUAUUUGUUCUUGUUGUUCUUGAACUUCUAAUAUUUCGGGUUUUUGUAAAACCAUGGCAGGCCCUAAUUUAGAGCUUCCAGCACAUUUCUCCCCAAUUUAUUUCCCGAUGGGAAACGCAGCCACAGGAUUCUUUGUGAUAUUCGCGUUGCUAGCGGGAGUAGUUGGAGCAGCUUCCACAAUCUCAGGCCUUAGCCACAUUCGUUCGUGGACCGUGGGAAGCUUACCAGCAGCAGCCACAGCUGCAACCAUUGCCUGGACCCUCACAGUCCUUGCCAUGGGGUAAACUCUCUUGUUUCACAAGCAAACUCAUCAUUUUUAAAGACAUCGAUAGUAAAACUAAUCAUGGCUUUUCAACAGUUUCGCUUGGAAAGAAAUCGAGCUACAAGGGAGAAAUGCAAAACUGGUGAGACUUUUCUCUAUUUCGAACCUUAUAGACAAAUUUGGAAAUCCCACCAUUGUUGCCUUCAUGACACGUCCAUUUUCUGUCAUUUUUCUAUGUAGAGAACCAUGGAGGCGUUCUUGAUCAUACUCUCAGUCACCCAGCUUAUUUACAUCGCAGCAGUUCAUGGCGUGAGGAGACCUUAAGGAAUCAUUCAUGGGCGUCGGAUUUCUUUUCUUCCUAUUGUGGCAAUCAUCCGAAACUCGGGAUUGUGUGUGUGAGCGUUUGUAUUUGUGUGAGUGUGCUUUAUUUUCUUCAUAGGAAGCUUAAGAUAAAUUCAUGCAUUCUUUAUGUACAAAAGGAUUAGAUCUUGUUUUGUGUGUUGUCACUUUGUGUUCAUGGAAUAAAAUCGAACUUUGAGGCUUGGUUCCGGUCAUCCCUCUAUAUAUAAUCUAACGAACUACAGAAAGAUGAUAAUAGAUAGAAAAACUAAGAAUGUAUUUCAAAGAAUAAUCUCAUGUUCUAAAAUCCAUUUGAUGAACAAAAGAAGAUUGUAUUUCAAAGAAUAAAAAGAAAGUUUACCCUGUUUUGCAUAUUUGGUCUUGCUCGUACGUUGCUAAAAGCCGCCCACAUUAUUAUCUAUCGAAGAUAUAAUGUACAGAGAAGAGUAUACAGACCAUGACUCCUAAUUUUCGGUUGUCUUUGAGUUUUGACUGUCAAGCGCAUCCACCUUUAUCUAGCUCCAGCUCAUCUGCAGCACAAUGCAGAGAAGACACGUUAAUACAGGUUUACCAUAAUAGACAAUGUAGUUAAAAUUCACACAAGAAAAACCUCAUUGAUAUUUUUAGAAGAUUUUGUGACAACCCAAAAUAAACAGCGUCAAGGUGGCUCUUAGCUAUCAAGACUUUCAUGUUCUGAUGCAUAAUUGUGUCUUGCACAUCAUUCUGUUCUUCGAUAAUUUGAUAGUGUUUUAGGUAGCUACGUUGAUUCUAACCAAUUUCGGUAACCAAGCCUCUCGGAGAAAGGUUUCAAAGUGGAUAAACUGAUAAAAACUCUGAACUAAACCGUCUACUUAACAAUUCAAGAUUCUAACUGCAAUUCAAAAUGUUUAAAUAAUUAAGUGAAGUUCUUAAUUAGUUCACAAAUUGUAGGCCAUGUGAGUUCUUAGUAAUCAGGAGACUCAACCAGAUAAAGUACAUCUACCAAAAAUCAUAAACCAAGACUAACCUGUGUUUAUCUAUCAGAUCCAGUCAUAGCAUCAAACAAACCGCAGCAGCUUAGCCAUGAAGUCCUUCGGACGACUGGUGGACCAGGUAGCAAAAGAGGCUGCAUACAUGCAGAAGAUUCAGCCAACUGAAAAGAGACGAAAAACACAUGUAUGCAAAAAGGAGAAUAGAGAUGCUACCUUUUCCUCAGGGGAUACUGGAACUUCAGAUUUUCUUACGCUCUCUACUUUUUUGCUUGUUUCAGGAGCAGAUCUUGGAAGCAUAACCACCUUACUAUUAUUGUUUUCCAAUACCGGAGACGGAUGAUACUCUUCAUCUUUCUCAGACUUCUUUUUGACCAAAUUUGAGUGUGUUGAGGUCUCAACAAGCCCACUCUUUUCAGAAGUCACUGUUUUGGAGAUAGAAACCACAGGUUUAACAGAAUCAACAACUGGAGUGAUUUCUGUAACUGAAUUACCACAAGCUACAUUUUUGGCGGGGCGAGUACGGUUAUCAGAAGAGGAGUUAGUUGAUUUUUCCACAAUAGCAUUGCCAGUUUUGGGUCCUAGUCCCUGAGUAACACCUGCAUCUCUAGAUAUCUCUUUAGAAGCACCUUUCACCACAGCAGAAGAUAGAAGAGCAGAUGAAUCUUUAGUCCCAAAUUCUUGAUUUCCUUGAGAACCAGGAGAACUCAAACUGCUAUCACUUCCCCUCCCAUCUUGGCUUCCAUGUUCAUCAUUUCCUGAGAUUAAAAAAGGAACUACUAAGAACACAAAAAGACUUGCAACUUCCAAAAAUGAUAGGAGAAAACAAUCCAGCAUUUGAUCAGAGUUAUAAAAAAAAGUCUUGCUAAAGUCAUGAAUGAAGCAUUGUUAGCUCGAAACAGAUAUUGAGAGAAGUAAUCAAACAGAUCUCUCUAUACACCAACCACGAAAAUAGUUAAUUUCUAGGCGAGAAGCUAUACUAAAAUCCUUCAACACCAUUCAAGACAUAAUCUAUCGACCUAACAAACAAACAAAUCCUGAAACCAAAAUCGAACUACGAAAUGUACCGUUGAUACUUGUUCCAAUCGCUUCCUGUUGCUUCUUCUUCUUCAACGCCUUUCUUUUCUUCGCACCGGACGGCAUGAUCGAUCGGAAAAUUCGAAUUCGUCGCCGCAAAAUGAAAUUGUUUCUUCACUUCAAACUUCAAAUUUUGUCUCUUCUCUCUCUCUCUCUUGUUUUUUUUUUCCAGUGUGAGUUGGUGUGUGUGUGUGUGGACUGCGUUUUCCUUUUUGUCACUAUGUUGGGCAAAACCAGAAUCUCCCACAGAGGAAAGAGAUAAGGAUUCUCCUUUUUUUAAUUUUAAUUCAACCUGCCUUAAUUGAACUUAUUCUUUAUUCAACGACAAUUCAUUUCCAUUUUUAAUCACAUUUCCACAAUUAGAUUGAUUAUACAAUGAACAAUAACAUAAGAUUAUUUACCGCCUUCACUUAUUUACUGUGAUUAAUUACUACGGUCAACUCAAAUCUGUUGUCACCGACAGCAUUAACAAUUGAGCAGGUCGCACCAUUUUAGGCUAUGGUUUGAAAUCAGAAUCACUGCAUUAGACCAACGACGACAAAUUAAACAAAAUUUGAAAUUUGCCCUUUUGUAUUACUAAAAACAGAAUAUCCCUUUUUGUGUGACCUUUCAAAUUUUAGUUUAAGAACACUUUUAGUAAGAGGACUUUGUCAGUAUAGACUAGUAGAGGGAAGAGCACAAUCAUGGCUUACCACAAACUUAUGUUAAGAGAGAAAAACGUGAAACCCACCUACCAAAUUUUCAACAUUAUGGCUACAAAAGAGAACCCACCUAAGGCACAGAGCAACACAGAUCCUGUUUUUGUCUCUCUAAUUUUUCUCUCAGAACUUGCUUUCGGUUUUAAUAACACGAGAUGAGAGCCACUGCAUCACUAGUUACAUUUAAUCAGAAGAUUAUGCGGCGUUGUAAGAACCUCCUGAUCAGAAUCACCAGGAGCUGUCCCAGACACCAUUACCGGCAUUUGAAACUUCGGAAAGCUUCUUCUUCAUCAUCAUCAUCAUCAUCUGGGAAGCAAGGGACCAAAGUGUUGGCUUCAUUCUUCCUCUUCUUCCAAAAGAAGAAACAGAACAAGGAGAAGAUGAAGCGGCUUAACGAACUCAGGAGUUUCUCGGGUGCCGUCGGUGAAAGGAAGGCGUCAAAUCCUGAAUCAAGAAAGAAGGUAUUCCCAUCGUCUUGGCUUUGCCCAGGUAAGGCUCAUUCACAAGAAGUCUCACAAGGUCAUGAUCCACCUAGAGACAGCACAAGCGCAUUCCUUCCAUGACUCAUAUGUCAAAACAACGCGAGAUCACAUGUAUAGCUUUCAAUUUGAUUAUGUGGUUGUUGUAGGAUAUCUCAUUGUCGUGAUUUCUAACACUAAGACCCUACUCUGACUCUCUCAGGAUGUAUGAUGAAUGCAGAGUAAAAUUCUUUGUAGUGCAGAAACUUAAUAAUAAGAUUGAUGUGUAUGAUUCAAUAAAUCUAUCGAAAAAACUUUGAAUUAGAAUCAGAAAUGAUUAUAGUUCAAGAACCCAAAUAAUUUCCAAACGGAAGAGAAGAUAGACAUCAAACUUUUUUUAUACAUCUAUCCUACAAGCACGGACCAAUGGCUUCAUUCCCCUAACCCAACCUGGGGCAUAACAACAAUACAUCUCAACUCACCGGUUCCAACCAGGUGAAUAUCCUUGAAUCAGUUCUUGGCAACAUCUCAACUCUAUGAUGACCUAUAACAUCAGAAGAAAAGAAUGCAAGAUAUGAAAAUGUUCUCAACAAAGAAAGUAAUAAUAUUGAACAAAGGAAACCCAAAACAAGAUUACACACUUUAUGCAACAGCUCAAACAAACUGAGAAUAAGGUUUCCUGAGACCCUCAAGCCUAUAAACUUAGAUUAAGCCACACUAAAUUACUUCAUCAUAAAUUCAACUUUCAAGUUACCACAGCUAAUUGGGGUUUUUUGACAUUAAGCUUUAGAAAUAUGGUAAGCCAUUACACUUAAGAUAUACUAAACCAAAGAUGACAAAAUGACCUAAGAUUUGCCAAUUUUGUGAUUUACAGCUUCCGGUAAAUAAAAGAUUCAAGCUUCUUUUAGUAAUCAUAUUAACAAAUUAGUAACGCAUUUCGAAAUAAUAUUACCUAGAUACAGGGCAAAAUCACCAACACAAAACCAUCUUCGUUCACAUUUUAAAACCUAAAAUCAAUGAUGAAGCUAAAACCCUAACAAUCGAGAAACCCACAUAGAUAAACGACCAACAUUAAAGCAUCGAACUAGAAAACCCAACAAAAUUGAGAUCAGAACCAACAAAAUUGAGAUCAGAAAACUUUACCAUUUCCAAGGAAUCUAUAGGAGCUUGGAAGAAGUGAAGCCAUGGGCGAAACUGUACAGAGAGAUCUGGUAUCGACAACUAGAAGAUAGUCUCUUAAACCCUAAGAGAGAGAGAGAUUUAGAGAGCUUAAUAAGAUGGAGAAAGCGAAAGCGCACAGAUAUCGAUGGAAGAGUGAAAGAGAAAGAGAGAGAUUUGUUGCCGUUACGCGAGUCCAAGGUCUCUCUUCGUUUUUGUCGCUGUUUUAUUCCUAAUAAAAAAAUAGAAAAACCCCGCGAACUUGAGUUUGGGCUUCUAAUGGGCCUAAUGGACCGAUACUAGGCUUUAUAUUAGAACACUCUCUACCUUUUUAUUUGAUCAGAUUGACUCAAUUGAGUGUGCUCUUUACUAAUAAUUUAUCUUCUUAAAUCUUUGUGUCAUGCAGGGAACUGAUAUAAGAAAUCUGUUGAAGAGAUUAUGAAGAAUAUUCAUUUUUACCUAUUCAGAAAUUAGGUGCUAAAUACCAAAAAUUGCAAUUAACAGAAACCAAUAUUAAAUCAAACAAAGGAUUAGGAAGAAGAAGAAGAGGAAGACUUCCCAUUGAACUGUAUUAGCUCUAAUGAUUUAAAGUCUUCUUGUUUUUCAUCAAAGUUUAAACCUCUUACGUACAUCAUAUACUAAAUUGUUGAUAUAAGCUCCUAUCAUUUAGGUUCUACAUCAGAUUUCGUAUGAUCCAACUAUUUAUACAUAUUGUUCCAAUCAUUAGAAUGUUUUCUAAAACUUAUAUAUGUAAACAAUAACAACUUUUUCCAAAUUAAAUUGCCAUUAGAAAAGAAAAAGCAUAGUAUUGAAACAUAAAUUAAGUUAAAAUAUCAAGUGCAAAUAAUAUGAAAAGAGAAACAUAAAUGUUGAAAAGAAAAAUAACUAAUAAUUAUAUUUUCCCUACUACUACAUAGUAGCAAACUCAUCCUUAUUAUUUAGGCUUCUUAAGAACACAGACACCACCCUUGCAUGAACCUUUCUUUGAAGAUGGCUUCGUGAAACAACUAAAAAGCUUGGAGAAGAAACCCAUCUUUCUUGAAAUCUGAAAAGAAUAUUGGAGCUAAUGAACUUUUUCAGGAUCUAUGUGUGUGUUAUGUAUCUCUAUUAGACUAUUUGCAUGGCUAUAUAUAACAAUAAUGUCACAAAUUAUUUGGUAAUGAAUUUUCUUGUAUUAAAUGUGUUUGGAGAUCCAACCGUCGAAAUGACUGGAAAUCAUGAAAAAUAUAAUUAUACAAUAUUCAAAAAAGAUAUGAAAGAAUAUUAAUAUGAUAAUUUAGGAAGUUUAACAUUUUUUCUAAAUGUAUAGUUUACAUUUUAUUUUAUCGUAUAUUAGAAAACUUAGAUUCAUCAUAUUUUAUACGAUGACGUUAGGAGCAGAAAACAGUAGGUUGCUAUUGAUCUGACUUCUAGGUAUAAGAAUCAAAAAAGAAAACACCCGCGCAUUCAAGUAUGGGCCUUUAAUGGGCUAUAGUAAUGAAACAAUACUGGGCUUUACAUUAGGAACGAACUAUCUCUCAUGUCCGUCUGUAAACUAGGAACGGACUGACUCGACGGAGCAAAGUGAACGGAAAAGUAACUGUCAAGCGAGCGAGUGAGAAAGAGAAAUCAGAAAUGGUGGUUACGGAUUCUCCAGUUUCGGGGAUAAUGGCUGAUCAGAACAUCGAUCCUAACACCACGACGAGCCCUAGUCCUAAAGAGAAGCAUGUUUCUGCGAUUAAGGCUAUCUCCGGCGACGAGAAAGCUCCGUCGAAGGAGAAAAAGAACUACGCGUCGAAGAAAUCAACUACCGUAAUCCAGAAAUCGCACUGUUUCCAGAAUUCUUGGACAUUUUGGUUCGAUAAUCCUUCCUCCAAAUCGAAUCAAGUCAUAUGGGGAAGCUCUUUGAGAUCCUUGUAUACAUUCGGUACUAUCGAAGAGUUCUGGAGGUGAGAUUUAUGUAUCCUUUUUCUUGUUGUAUGAAAUAGUUUCUUCGGUUUCACUGAGAACAAAUCUGGAGUGAAUAUGAAAUAGUUUUGAGGCAGAACCAGUAGAUUAGGGAUUCGAUAGCUGAGCUCCAUGAUUCGUUUGUGCCUUGAUCUUAGAUUUAUAGCUAUAGAAAGCGUUGUUUCUAUCCAUAAACCUGAAUUUCUUCAAGUUUUGUAUUGGAGAAUACUUGAAUUGUAUCUGUACAUAAACCUGUAAUCUUUACUUAAGAUUGUUUCCAUCUCAGAAGCUAGUUUGGUUUUUGUGUGCCUUCUUUUUCUGCGUUUUAGAUUAUUUCUAUCUUCAGGUGUCCUGUGUAUGUUAUGGAUGUGUUUAAAGGGCUGCUUGUUGAUUUCUUGAUGCAGUCUCUACAAUAACAUUCAUCCUCCAACCAAGUGGGUUUCGGGGGCGGAUCUUUACUGCUUCAAAGAUAAGAUUGAACCAAAAUGGGAAGAUCCUAUCUGUGCUAAUGGAGGAAAAUGGAGUAUGAUGUUCCCUAAAGCUACACUAGAAUGCAAUUGGCUUAACACGGUAUUGUAACUUUUCAGGACUUCAUUGUAGUUUUUCCCUUGGCUAUUUUGCUUGUUUGAUGCAUCUUUGUGAUGUUUCUUGUCUCCUUUUUUUAGUUACUUGCGUUGGUUGGUGAGCAAUUUGACCAAGGAGAUGAGAUCUGUGGAGCAGUUUUGAACUUCAGAGCGAGAGGGGACAGGAUCUCUCUAUGGACAAAGAACGCUGCAAAUGAGGAGGCUCAGGUAAAACAUGGAUGCCUUAUAUUAGAUAUUUAUCUGGUAACCAAAAAGGCUUGUUCUUGAGGGAGACACAAGUAUUUGGUGAAUUUUCUGAAGUCUCCAGUUUUCUAAGUUCUUAACCAAAAAGUAAUAGGGAGAUUACAAGAUAAAGACAUCUAAUCCUUGUUUCGUUCAUACAUUGGUUUCAUCGUUUAACUUAACUAGGGCCAGGAUCUAGGUUUGUUUAGGAGCCUUAUUUUUUGGGGGACUGAUACCUUAUAUUCUUAUUGCGGUGUUUGCUGCAGCUAAGCAUUGGGAAGCAGUGGAAGGAACUUCUUGGCUACAAUGAGACAAUCGGAUUUAUAGUUCAUGUACUAUUUCUGCAACAUCUUUUUGUUCUCCUAAACUACAUAGGUUUGUGCUAUUGUGACUUAUCCAAUUUGUUUUUCAGGAGGAUGCAAAGACUCUUGAUCGUGAUGCUAAACGUCGAUAUACUGUAUGAGAUUCAACAGUUUUACUUGUCAGCUUCGCCGGGGAAAUCGAGAAGACGUAAAAGGGGAAGUCAACAUGACCUUUAGUUGCCUCUGAUCUAUCUUUACUGUAAAAAAAGAUGCACAUUUAGUUCACAUUUUCAACUAUCAGAAUUGUUGAAACGGAUCUGUAUCAAAAGUACAUGAUUUCGUAAUUUUCUUAGUGGUAUAAAGGAAAAGGAAUUUCGAAAUUACAUUUCUUACGUUAAUCAUUUUCUCAGUUGUUGGUUUUAAUUUGUCUUAUAACCCAUAACAGAGUAGCUGUUGAAGAAAAUUAAAUCCAUUAAAAGCCAGGAAAAUGUUUCCCGCCAAUAAAAAAACUAAACUUGCAAAUAUAUUUCUUCCGUGUGAAAACUGAAAACUGACGUGUCAUAAAGUAUGCAUAUAAAAACCAUUCUUUGAUUUGAUUUUCAGAGAAGAAGAGCAUUUAGAAAACAAAAGCGGAAUAAGAAACAAGAUUGAAGAAAGAAGUCGGAGAAGACAGUAGAAGAAACUGAUACGAGGAGAACUUACUCUCAACUUUAAUGGCAGACGCUGGAGAUAAUCAGAGAAGAAGCGAUGAAAAAGAGUCGAUAUCAACUGAAGAAACGAAGGUAAACAAGAAACUGAACAAGAACUUGCUCUGUUCUUUGCAGUGGAUUAUUAUGAUGAAACCAGAUCGAUACGAAUUUCUCAGGAGAAUGAAGACUUGGGAUCUGGAAGAAACGACACAGGUCAUCAUGUAUACAACGAGGGACACGAAGAGGUACUAGAGUAUCUGAAACAAGAGAGACUGAAAGAUGCUGAUAUGCAGAGGAAAAGGCAUGAAACAGAGUCGAAAUCCAUUGAGGUAAACGAGAAACUGCGCAAGAACUUACUUGUGAUGUUCUUACUGUGACUUCUCAUUUGAAUCGGCGUUUCGUUUUCUUUAGAUUAGUCCUUACUCCUUUCGUUUCUUGUGAAUUCUGAGGAGAAGGAAAAGACGUAAUGAAACAGAGUCGAGAAAAAAUGGCUAUGUUGCUUACUUAGAUUUGUUGAUUUAACGUUUUGUUCACUUUUGAUUAUCAGGGCACAACUCCUGAUAUUAGGCUGAGUGAUUCAGGGAAAGGGUCUGAUGAAAUACAGAAAGCAGACUCAGUUUACAAACGCUCUAACGCUGACACGCGAGUGAGUCUGCCACAACAGAGACGACUGAAAGAUGUGGUGGAGGCGCAUAGGGUACGCCGUGAAACAGAGUCAAGAUUAUGGCACCAAGAGAGGGUAAAACAACUAACUUCUUACACAGUAUCUUUUGUUUGAUUUACGUGUUCCUUUGAUUUUGAUUCUCAGGAUAGAUCUCUGGUUUGGGGAGGAAGUGAACCCAGGAUGAGAUUUGAUGAAAGUACUCAGGGUUGGAGAGAUAGUGACUAUGAAUCCAAAUGGAGGUUUCAUGAGAGAACUCCGGAUUGGGAUUGGAGAGAUAGUGAAUCCAGAAUGAGAUCUCAUGAAAGAACUCAGGAUAGGAGAGGAAGUGAAUCCCAAGGGGUAUUUGAUGAGAGAACAGAGAGGAGACAAGAACCAGUGCGAUGGCCCGGUGAAGAGUGUUGGUGUCUGCGGUGUCGAAACGGAGGAAGUUGCCGUUACAAUCAUCCUACUCAACUUCCACAGGUGAGAAAUGUUUGACUUAGUCUCUAAGUUGCAAUUUUACUCUUGGCUUACUGCUUUCAAACAUCUUUAUUAGGAGCUUCCGGUGAGGAAUCGUUUGCAGAUUUGCAGGGUAAGUGAAGUUUUGUAACUUUAUCUAAGAGCUAUUGUCUGGUUUAGUCUUUACUUGAUUUGAAAAGAGAUUCGUUGCAGUAUUUUCUGAGGGGAUAUUGUAAGUUCGGCUCAGUUUGUGGAUUUCAACACAUAAGGGACAGGGAUGUUGCAGAACCUAUGUAUGAGGUAACUUCAUCUCCAAGGUAAGAAGCCAUCUCCAUAAUACUGUAGUUUGAUCUAACGUUUUCGCAUGAUUUUGACUCUUAGAAUUGGAGUUUUGAUGUGAGAACUCAGAGGAGAUAUGAAAUAGAGUACUCAGGAUUCAGGCCAGAGAAGAGGGUAAGUAAACUAAAAUGUCUCUUUUUGUUUGUUUAACUGCUUUCCGUUUAAACUCAUAUGAAUAUUCAUUCUCAGGCAAAAACUAGUCUGGAUUCCGUAGAGCCUGAUUCAAGAAAAAGACUGGAAGGUCUAGAGAAUAAACGAGAGCAAGAGAAUCCGCAAGAACCUGAAAGGCAGAGGACUGAGGCUCAAGACAAUCUGCAGGUACCAAAAGAAAACUGAUUCUCUUCUUUACUAGUGGAUGAAAAACUCGAAGAUCUAAAGGAAGGGGUAUGUAUAAAUCAAGAAAGAAGUUGAAUUUUGUUGUUAUUUAGUUAUAUGAUCAUGAGUCCUUGAUUUUUCUUCAAACAAUAUCGUAGGAAUUUCGAGAGCAAGAGAAUCCGCAAAACCAGAUACAGAUAAAUACUGAAAGACAGAGGACAAUGGCUCAUGACAAUCUGCAGGUACCAAAAAUAACUCACUUUCUAGUGAUAUUUCUUCCUUUACUGUUACUGGUUUCUUAUAUGGUUGUUCAUUCUCAUUCCAAGAUCGUUUCGGAUUCUCGAAUGCAUGAUCCAAGACGCCAUGAUACAGAGUUGAGACUCGAACGAGAGAAGAUGGUAAACAGAGAACUUGAAAAGCAGAGGAUAGAACAUCUAAUCGAUCCACUAGUGAGGCGAUACAUGCAAGCAAAGAGAGAUAAAGAAGUUGAACAGAGAGAGAGAGCUAGCAUUGAGAGCCAGAGGAUAGUGGCUCAAGAGAUUCUGCGGCAACAGAGAUUACAGGUUAAAAAAACUAAAACAAGACAUGAUUCUGUUUCUUCACUUUGGAUUGUAUAACACAUAGAGAAGAUAACAUUUAUUGUUUCGGUUCACAGGGGAUGCGAGAGAAUCAGAACGUGGAUUCUCGAAUGCAUGAUCCAAGACGCCAUGAUACAGAGUUGAGACUCGAACGAGAGAAGAUGGUAAACAGAGAACUUGAAAAGCAGAGGAUAGAACCUCUAAUCGGUCCACUAGUGAGGCGAUACAUGCAAGCAAAGAGAGAUAAAGAAGUUGAACAGAGAGAGAGAGCUAGCAUUGAGAGCCAGAGGAUAGUGGCUCAAGAGAAUCUGCGACAACAGAGAUUGCAGGUUAAAAAAACUGAAACAAGACAUGAUUCUGUUUCUUUACUUUGGAUGAUACAACACAUAGAGAAGAUAACUUAUACUAUGUUUUCUUACUGUGACAGUGUGACUUGUCAUUUGAUUUAUUGUUUCGGUUCACAGGGGAUGCGAGAGAAUCAGAACGUGGAUGCUCAUGAUCAAGAGAAAACUCAGGAACUCGGUUUCAAAGGAAAAGAGGGAGAUGGAGUUUAAGAGGAAACGGAGUUACGAGACCACCAAAGAGAACUCUCAAGAUGAUUUCUUUUACCGCAAGAAACUGAUGUGUUUUUCCUUUGAACGCAAAUAAUAAGUUCAUUUUGAUAAACUGAUCGUUUCGGAAUCAAUUGUGUUAUUGAUUGAUUAAACGAAUGAUGAAACUUUUAAUGCAAAAUAUUUGAACAAAAUAACUGUUAUUUAGAAGAAAGAAAUAUCAAUAGCUAUUGAAGAUAAAAAGAAAAAUACGCCCUAACAGUUUCCCGCCGAAAAAACUAAAGAAACAAUACCAUUCUUUGAUUAAAUAGAGAAACAAAAACAGCAUUAGAGAGAAUAUUGUUAGCAUUGACGAAAGAGAGUCGAAGAGACUGAUACGAGGAGAACUCACUCUCAACUUCAAUGGCAGACGCUGGAGAUAAUCAGCAAGAAGCUGAGAGAAGAAGCGAUGAAACAGAGUCGAGAUCCAUUAAAGAACCGAAGGUAAACAAGAAACUGAACAAGAACUUGCCCUGUUCUUUAACUAUGGAUUGUUUCGAAAAAAACAGAGUCGAUAAACGAAUUUCUCAGGAGAAAGAAGACGAAGAUGAGAAUCCUCAGGAUCAAAUACAGAGCAAAGGUAGUUUCAAAUCUUUGAGAGAACCAUAUGAUCGAUCUACGGUUUUCUACUUAUGAUCAUCAUUUGUGAUCUCUUUAAGAAUCGUAUGGAUUUCUGUUGAUCCAAGUUUGGAUAUGUGUAUAAUCUUUGAUGUUGUUGGUAUGAUGUUUAGAGAGGAUGAGGCAGUCGAGUCCGUAUCCAGUUCGUCCCGGUAAAAAAGACUGUCAGUUUUACCUCAAAAAUGGUCUGUGUCGCUAUAGAAGUAGUUGCCGUUUCAAUCAUCCUACUCAACGUCCACAAGUGAGAACUUCUCUAUGUUUGGUUGAGUCUAAGUUUCCAUUUUUUUCUCUUGGCUUACUGGUUUCAAACAUCUUAACAGGAGCUUCCGGUGAGGAUUUGUAAGGUAUGUGUAGUUUUGUAACUUACGUGGUCAUCUAGCAAAAACUUAUUCUAGUUUAUUUAAGAGCUAAACAAGAACCUGGAAUGUAAUUAGGAAUCUCUUGUCUGGUUUAUUCAUUUGAAAGAGACUUGUUUUUUUUUAACUUCUUUUAUAAUGAACUUCGUUGCAGCAUUUUCUGAGAGGAUCAUGUACGUUUGGCUCAGGUUGUGUAUUUCAGCACAUUAUGGACAGAAAUGUUGCAGAGCCUAUGUAUCAGGUAACUUCAUCUCCAAGGUGAGAAGCCAUCUCCAUAAUAGUUUGAUUUAACGUUUUAGUAUGAUUAUUAUUCUUAGGAUUGGAGAGAGAGUGAAUCAGAACGGAGAUUUGAUGAGAGAACUCAGCGCACAUUUGGUGAUGAGAGAACUCAAAGAAGAUAUGGAAUAGAGUACUCAGGAGCCAGGCCAGAGAAGAGGGUAAGUAAACUAAAAUGUGACCUUUCUUUGUUUACCGUUACUAGUUGCUUAUAUUGUUGUUCAUUCUCAGUCCAAGAUUGUUCCGGAUUUUCAAAUGCGUGAUCCAAGACACCAUGAUACAGAGUGGAGAUUCGAGCGAGAGAGGAUGGUAAACUGAAUAGACCUGACUUUGUUCUCAGUUUGUGUUUUGCUUUUUCUUCAAGAGAAUCGCAGCUUUGAUUGAAUCUGCAGGAACGAAUUGAAAGGCAGAGGAGAGAGGCUGAAGAAAAUCUGCAAGAACAGAGACAGAGAGAUAGCAUUGAGAGGCAGAGGAGAGAGGCUGAAGAAAAUCUGCAAGAACAGAGACAGAGAGAUAGCAUUGAGAGGCAGAGGAGAGAGGCUCAAGAGAAUCUGCAACAACAGAGACAGAGAGAUAGCAUUGAGAGGCAGAGGAGAGAGGCUCAAGAGAAUCUGCAACAACAGAGAUUACAGGUUUAAAAAACUGAGACAAGACCUAGUUAUGUGACUUCUAGAAGAAGAGAGAACAGAGUACUACAGUCUGUUAUUUUCUACUGUGACUUGUCAUUUGAUUUUAUGGUUCGGAUCUACUUAUUCUCAGGACAUGCCAGAGAAUCACAACGUAGAUGAUCAACAGAAUCUGCAGGAACAGAGACGGAUAAGCAUUGAGAAGGAGAGAACAGAAGCUCGUUUGAGACUAGAACAGGUUUUUAGUUGAAUCAUCAACAUUUUCUUAAAGGUCAAUUACAUGACAAACAAAAGAUUGUUAUGUAAGUUAAUUUAUUUUGUUUUCUUCAGAUCCGACCCACUGUUUCAUUUCCAAUAAACGAAUUUAUUCGAGCCGUAGUGUUGCUGAGAGAACUGAUAGAGAAUUGGGAUGAUAAAGCUUGGAAGAAAUAGAUAUUUAGGUCAAGGUAAACACCUAUCUGUUUCUCACCGUGGAAAGAGAAGACAACUUCUUACUAUCUUGUGACUUGUCAUUUGAUUUCUUGUUUCGGUUUAUGUUGUUUUUCGUUUUAAAAGGUUUAUAUUUUUCUUAUUAACAGGAGGAAACAGAGUUAUGUAUGAGACCGCCAAAGAGAAAUUUCAGAUGAUUCCUUUGACCGCAAGAAACUUAUAUAUGUGUUUGGAAGAUUUAGGUUAAGCUUUCGUUGUUUCAAUGUUUUGCAAAAUUAUAACAUGCUGGGUAAAAAGUAAAUUACAUUAUUAUGAAAGUUAGUUGAGUAGAAAUGAAUAUUUCUGAACAUAUUGAAAUUUACACAUCAAUAUUCUUGUAGAGUUUAAUUCAAGAAAAGACAUAUUACGUGGAAAAGUUAUGAGGAAGAUCUAGAGGAAGGGGUAUAUAUGAAGAAAUUGACUUUGUUCUUAUUUUGUUAUAUGAUCAUGAGUCCUUGAUUUUUCCUUCAAACAAAUAUCCUAGGAAAUUCGAGAGCAAGAGAAUCCGCAAGAACAUAUAUUUCGAUUUUACAGUUUAAUCAAAAACAAGAGAUGCAGAAGCCACAAUCCCAUACAACGCAGCAACAACAAUCUGUGCAGACUCCGCUGCAACAUCAGACGUUAGCUUCUCAUCUCUAUCCCGUAAGAAUCAAGAAACAAAAAGUUGAUGAAUCAAUUUCUUCUCCUUGGGGGUCUGAUAUAUCGUCCUUGUUAAUGUCUUGGAUUCGCAGUUGGUGGAAAAUUUAAAAGAUGUGACUGAAUCUAGAGCACGAGAUCAGAACUCUGAUGCCCUGGUUAGUUUCUCUAUACAAAAAUUUCCAAGUCUUUUUUAAGGUUGUUUGGCUUUCUAGGGUUUCAUGAAUGUUGAAUUGCAUUGCAGGUGACUGAACUGAGUAGCCAUUUCGACAAGUGUUAACAGAUUUUGAAUUCGAUUUCUAGAUCCCUAGAAUCUAAAACUAUAAAGGUAUAACAUAACAAUAAAGUUUGGACAUUUGGAUCAGAAUAAAGUUUGUCUGUUUUUUUGCUUACGGGUUUUCCUGUUUUACAAGUAUGUUGAUGUACAGAAGCAAAAUCUAGAAGAAAGUGAACAAUUGCUUCAACAAAGAAUGUAAGCAAGUUGUUACAACUUCUUUUUAUUUGAUUAGAUUUAUUGUGCUCUUUACUUAUAAGAAUCUUCUUAAAUCUUUGUGUCAUGCAGGGAAUUGAUUGAGGAAUACAAGAAAUCUGUCGAAGAGAUUGUGAAAAAAGAGCCUUAGUUCCAUAUGGUUCUCAAUUUUACUCAUUCAGCAAUGUAGGUGCUAAAUACAAAGAAUUGUAAUCAAUAGAAACCAAUUUUGACACACAAAGGAGAUCAUUCAUUUGUUUUAUGUGCAUCAACAACUAAAAAAUAAUAAUCCAAAUCUUUGUCUGUAAAUCGAAUUGCCAAUAUAAAAACAAAAAGGCAUAAAUCAUAUCUUGUGUUUCUGAAUUUAUUCUCAGAUUAAGUUAAAAUAUCAAGUGCAAAUAAUAUGAAAAGAGAAACAUAAAUAUUGAAAAGAAAAGCUAAUAAAUAAUAUAUCUUUGCCUACGAGCACUACAUAGUAGCAAAUUGAUCAUUAUUAUUUAGGCUUCUUAAGAACACAGACACCACCCUUGCAUGAACCUUUCUUUGAAGAUGGCUUCGUGAAACAGCUAAAAAGCUUUGAGAAGAAACCCAUCUUUCUUGAACUGUGAAAACAAUAUUGGAGCUAAAUCGCUAAUGGACUUUUUAGGUGUUUUUGUAUGGAUGUACCUCUAUUAGACUUGCAUGCCCACACAUAUAUAUAUAACAAAAUGACUAACCUAGUUACCUAGAUUAUGUAAAUCGUGUGAAUAUAUCAUUAUAGGAUGUAAAUAUAUUAAAUUAGGAAGUUUACCAUUAUUUCUAAAUGUAUAGUUUACAUUUUUAUUUAUUUUGUAAGAUUGAUCAUAUUCAAUACAAUGACGUCAGCAGUCUAAUUCCUAGUUAAAAUAGAAAAAAAAACCACGCAUUUGAGUAUGGGCCUUUAAUGGGCCACAUUUAUAGUAAUGGAACAAUACUGGGCUUUAUAUAAAGAACUAACUCUCUCUCAUCUCCGUCUGUUAUACUGGGAACGGACUCGACGGAGCAUAGUGAACGGGAAAAUAACUGUCAAGCGAGCGAGAGAGAAAGAGAAAUCAGAAAUGGUGGUUAUGGAUUCUCCAGUUUCGGGGAGAAUGGCUGAUCAGAACAUCGAUCCUAACACCACGACGAGCCCUAGUCCUAUAGAGAAGCAUGUUUCGGCGAUUAAGGCUAUCUCCGGCGACGAGAAAGCUCCGUCGAAGGAGAAAAAGAACUACGCGUCGAAGAAAUCAACUACCGUAAUCCAGAAAUCGCACUGUUUCCAGAAUUCUUGGACAUUUUGGUUCGAUAAUCCUUCCUCCAAAUCGAAUCAAGUCAUAUGGGGAAGCUCUUUGAGAUCUUUGUAUACAUUCGCUACCAUCGAAGAGUUCUGGAGGUGAGAUCUUUGUAUCUUUCUUGUUGUCAAAUUUCUUUGGUCUAAGCUGGAGUGGAUUUGAAAUAGUUCUGAGGCAGAACCUGUAGAAUAGGGAUUCAAUAGCUGAGCUCCAUGAUUAUAAUGGUUGCGGAUGCUUUUGUGCUCUGAUCUUAUAAAUAUAGAACCGUUGCUUCUUGGAUUUCUUUGUAUUGGAGAAUGCUUAAUCUCAGAAGCUAGUUUGGUUUUUGUGUGCCUUCUUUUUCUGCGUUUUAGGUCCCCUCUAUCUUAAGGUGUCCUGUGUAUCUUCUUUUUCUGAGUUUUAAAGCUCUGCUUGUGAACUACUUGAUGCAGUCUUUACAAUAACAUUCAUCCUCCAACCAAGUGGGUGUCAGGGUCGGAUCUCUACUGCUUCAAAGAUAAGAUUGAACCAAAAUGGGAAGAUCCUAUCUGUGCCAAUGGAGGAAAAUGGACUAUGUUUUUCCCUAGAGCUACACUAGAAUCUAAUUGGCUUAACACGGUAUUGUAACUUUUCAGGAGUUAAUUGUAGUUCGCUUGGCCAUGCUGCUGCUUGUUGGAUGCACCUUGUGAUGUUUUUGUGUCAUUGUUUUAGUUACUUGCGUUGGUUGGUGAGCAAUUUGACCAAGGAGAUGAGAUCUGUGGAGCAGUUUUGAACUUCAGAACGAGAGGGGACAGGAUCUCUCUAUGGACAAAGAAAGCUGCAAAUGAGGAGGCUCAGGUAAAACAUGGAUGGUUUAUAGUAUAUAUUUAUCUGGUAAUUAAAAAGGCUUGUUCUUGACGAAACACACCAUGUAGUUAGCGAAUUUCCUGAGGUCUCUAGUUUUCUAAGUACUUAACCAAAAACUAGUAGGGAGACUACAAGAUAAGAGCACCUAUUUCUUGUUUCUUUCAAGAGACUUUUUUAGAAUGUAAACGAAGAUAGUUUUGCGUUGGUGAUUUUGUAGCAAUUGUGUUUCAUCGUUUCAAUUAACUAAGGGCCAGGAUCUUGGUUUUGUUUAGGAGACUCUUUUUUUGGGAACUGAUAUCUUAUUGUGGUGUUUGCUGCAGCUAAGCAUUGGGAAGCAGUGGAAGGAACUUCUUGGCUACAAUGACACAAUCGGAUUUAUAGUUCAUGUACUAUUUCUGAAACAUCUUUUUUUUCUCCUAAACUACAUAGGUAUGUGCUAUUGUGUGACUUGUCCAAAAUGUUUUUCAGGAGGAUGCAAAGACUCUUGAUCGUGAUGCUAAACGUCGAUAUACUGUAUGAGAUUCAACAGUUUUACUUGUCAGCUUUGCCGGGGAAAUCGAGAAGACGUAAAAGGGGAAGCCAUAUUAGAACAUGACCUUUAGUUGCUCUAUCUUUACUGUAAAAAGAAGAUGCACAUUUGGUUCUCAUUUUCAACAAUCAGAAUUGGUGAAACGGGUUUGUAUCAAUAUAGUGGUAUAAAGGAAAAGGAAUUUCGAAAUUAAAUUUCUUACGUUAAUCAUUUUCUCAUAUGAACAAUUUGGAAAAGAUAUAUAUGAACAAAGUGAAUUGUGGAGAAGACUUCAUUAACACUGGUCGAAGACGGACUAUUGUCGAUCCGCAGUAAGUUGAGGAAUUCCCCAUCCAAUAACAUUUCUCUUCUUCUCAAAUUAUAAUGAAUUCUAGGAGUCUAGAAGGUCCGACCCGUUCACAAUCUUUGGAAGGCCUAAGAACUAAAAAUCACAAUAUAUCACUUAAAUGGUGUUUUUAGUGAAGUUUAUAUCACUUAAGUACAUUUUUAGAGAAUCAAGCCUACGAAUAUAUGUUUGAUUCUUGAUGUAAACAAUCAAGAACCUUUUUUUAUCAAAUCGGAUUACCAUUAGAAAAAGAAGAAGCAUAGUAGCAAAACAUAAAUUAAGUUAAAAUAUCAAGUGCAAAUAAUAUGAAAAGAGAAACAUAAAUGUUGAAGAGAAAACAAUAAUAAUAAUAAUAACUUUUUCCCUACUACUACAUAGUAGCAAACUCAUCCUUGUUAUUUAGGCUUCUUAAGAACACAGACACCACCCUUACAUGAACCUUUCUUUGAAGAUGGCUUCGUGAAACAACUAAAAAGCUUGGAGAAGAAACCCAUCUUUCUUGAACUCUAAAAACAAUAUUGGAGCUUAUGGACUUUUUAGGUAUUUUUGUGUGGUAUAUGCGGAUGUACCUCUAUUAGACUUGCAUACCCACAUAUAUAUAUAUAACAAAAUGAUGUCUUCAAUGUAUUGAGAGAUCGAAAUGACUAACCUAGAUUAUGUAAAUGACUAACCUAGUCUAUCUCACGGUGACGAGAAAGAUCCGUCGAAGCAGAGAAAGAGCGAUGAAUGUGUGUCGAAGAAAUCAACAACCGUAAUCCAGAAACCACAUUGCUUCAAGAAUUCUUGAGGACACAUCAUAUAUCUUUGGUUUCCAUGAAAAAACUAAGCUCUGAAGCAGAACCAGUAGAAUAGGGGUUGCGUGAGAAAGAAAAGGAACUUUGAAUCGUUAUCACUUAUCACAAUUAUAGAAUUAUUUCAGGUUUAUUGAAACUCAGCUAUUAGUUAUAUUUUUUGUUUUUAACCGUAACAGAAUAGCUAUUGAAAGAAAAAGAGAAAAUCCAAACUAUCACCUUUAAACAUUUUUCCCGCCAAAAAAUCACUCAAAUAAAUAAAGUGGUGUUAUAUUUGAAAGUCAUUAAGUGCAUGUACAUGUAUGAUCUAUCUACUAGGGGACACAUCCUAUAGUUCGCAAAUAAUCAAAUACUGUUAGGGUAACUUAAAUUUUAUCCAUAGUGCCAAUUAGUAUAUUUAUGUGGAUGGAGGUCAUAGCGAAUAAAUUAAUUUCUCUUAAGUAAAACUUGAACCUUGGUUUUGGGAGCUUCCCUCAUUUGAAGGUCAAGUCAUAGCGAAUAAAUUAAUUCCUUUCAAAUAGGGUUCGAACUCUAGUUGCCGGAGUUUCCCUCAUUUGGGGUCCAGUCAACAAUGCAUUACUGAGUUGUCAUUAAGUGCAUGUACAUGAAUGAUGUAUCUACUAGGGACACAUUCUAUAGUUUGCAAAUAAUCAAAUAUUAUCAGGGUAAUUUUAAUAUUCUCUAUAGAGCCAAUUAGUGUAUAUUUAUGCGGGUGGAGGUCAUAGCGUAUAAAUUUAUUUAUUUCAAGUAAGGUUCGAACCCUGGUUUUGGGAGCUUCCAUCAUUUGGAGGACUAAAGUCAUAGCGAAUAAAUUAAUUCUUCUCAAGUAAGGCUCGAACUCUGGUUGCGGGAGCUUCCCUCAUUUGGAGGCUAGUCAACGACGCAUUACUGAAUUGCCUAUACUUAAAAGUUACAUAGUCAAAUAUUGUUAUGAAAAUUAUUAUUAUUAUUAUUAUUAUUCGCGACCAAUCAAUGUUAUGGAAACAUGAUUUUCAAAUUGAAUAUGAAGAACCAAACUAUUCUUUGAUUUUAUUUCUUGAGAAUAUAAGCAAUUAAAAAACAUCUGAGGAGACUAGAAAAACUCAUAACAAAAGUUGUUGUGGAAGAACAAAGUCUAGAUCCAUGGAAGAAACAAAGGUAAAAAAGAAAAUGAACAAUAACUUAACGUGCUAAUCCAUAUUUUUGCUAACCACUUACGAUGUUAUUACUGUGAUUUCUCAUUUGAUUUUACGUUUCGGGUUUUAUUUAGUUUGGUUGGUCCUUACAAUCUCAUAAAACAGAGCCAAGAAAUAUGGCUAACGUUUCGUUUACUUUUGAUUCUCAGGAACAAAAUAAGGAAUUGAGGCCGAGUAGAUUAGUGGGUAGAUCUGAUGAGAGAAAUGGUAGGAGACAGGGAACAGAGCAAAAGAAGAAGGUAAAGAAACUGAACAAAAACUUACUCUGUUAUCUACUCUGUAUUUUGUGAUGAAACAAGAGUCGACACGAUUUUUUUCAGGAGAAAGAAGACUCGGGUUUUAGAGUAAGCGAAGAGGGUGAGAUUCCUUUGCAACAAGGGUCAAAUACUGACUCAUACGCGCGGGAUGAUCUGACACAACAACAGAGAGUGAGUGAUGUUGUGAUGCAGAGGAGAAGCCAUGAAACAGAGUCGAGAUUAUGGCAAAGGGUAAAGAAACUAAAGUCUUGCUCUUACACAAUAUGCUUUGUUUGAUUUAACGUUUUCUUUUGAAUAUUUGAUACAUUAGGCUAGAACUCAGGAUAGGAGAGGAAGUGAAUCCAGAAUGAUGUUUGAUGGGAGAACUCAGUGGAGUCACGCACCGGUGCUAUCGAGUGCGUAUCCAGUUCGCCCCGGUGAAGAUAAUUGUCUGUUUUAUAUGAAAAACCAUCUGUGUGAAUGGGGAAGCGAGUGUUGUUACAAUCAUCCUCCUCUACAAGUGAGAAAGAAAACAUUAUCUCAAUUAAUUUGGCUAAGUAUAAUUUGCAGUUUUCCUCAUUUCUUAUACCUUUGUUACUACAAACAGGAGAUUCCGUGCAGGAUUGGUAAGAAGCUGGAUUGCAAGGUACAUUUCUUGGAUGUCUUGUUAUUAUCUCAAAACCUGAUUAAUUCGAUUGGUUGUUGUGGUAUGAGCGGAUUAUAAAGAGUAAAAAAAACCUAGAUUUUCUUCUGCUUUAAUGCAUUCGAGUUGAGCGUCAAGUAACAAGAAUUCCAAACUUCUAUAUGCAUUUUGUUGCAGUUUUUUAAGGCAGGAGCUUGUAAGAGAGGCUCAAAUUGUCCAUUUAAUCACCCAAAGGAAAGGGAUGGUGAUAGUUUACCUAUGCCUCAGGUAAUUUCACCGCGGAUAUUAUAUUAGUCUUAGCAACGUUUUAUUGUCAAAUGUGAUAACUUAAACCGAGUUUAUUCUCCAGGGUUAGAAGCCAUGACUAUAUUAGUUUGAUGUAACGUGUUUUAAGUUUUGGCUCUCAGGGUAGAACUCCGGAUUUGAGAAGGAAUGAUUCAGGGAGGAGGUACAAUACAGAGUCAAGAUCAUGGCCAGAGAAUAAGGUAAGGAAACAGAACAAGAACUUAUUCUCUUCGUUACUUUGGAUUAUGCUGAGACAAGGGUUUAUACGAAUUUCUCAGGAGAAAGAAGUGGGCCAGUUUCGUGAUCACCAAGACUCUAAAGAAGACGCGCAAGAGGUUCUGCUACAACAGAGACCUAGAGAUGUUGAGAUGCGGAAGAGGGUAAAGAAACUAAGUUCUUACAUAGUUUUCUUUGUUUGAUUUUAACGUUUUCUUUUGAAUUUUGAUUCUCAGUCUAGAAGUCCGGAUUUUAGAGCGAGUUCAUCGAGAGGAAGAGUUGAAAAUAAAUGUCAAAGACGCCAUGGAAAGGAGUUGGCCUUAUUCAAGCGAGAGAGGCUAAAGAAAAUGAAUUAUGACUUGAUUUUGUUCUUUGUUUUAUUUUACUGACUUCAGUCACUUAAUGAUCCUGAGUCCUUUUGACUUAACUCGUUGCUUUUUCUUCAAACAAAAUAUGGUAGGAUCUUCAGAAACCGAGACAAAGGAACAUCGAGAGGCAGAGGAGAGAAGCUCAAGAGAAUCUGCAACUGCAACAGGAAAGGUUUCAGGUAAAGAAAAUGAACUGAGACCUACUUAUGUUUAUUUGCUGAUGAUGCCAGAGAAUCACAACGUAGAUGUUCAACAGACUCUGCAGGAACAGAGAAAGAGAAACAUUAAGAAGGCGAGAAUCGAAGCUCGUUUGAAACUUGAUCAGGUGUUUAGUUGAAUCAUCAACAUUUUCUCAAUUGAUUUUUUUUAUAUAUACUUGACAAAAGAUUCUCAUGUGAGUUAAUUUUUUUUUGUUUCUUCUUCAGAUCCGACCAACUGUUGUAUUAGAAAAUAGUCGAGCCACAAAAAUGAUGAUAGAAUGGGGAUUUACUGAUUUUCGCAAACUCCAAGGCUCCAACCUUGGAAACAAGAAAUGGAUAUGUUGGGUCAGAAAACAUUGUUGUUAAGUCAGAUUUAAACUUUUUUAUUUUUCUAAUUUUUUUUUUAUUUUAAACUAUCUCACUUUCUGUCAUAAGAGAAUUGGUUAAAACUAUUGAUGCAUAAUUUAACAUGUCAAGCUUGGUACAACUUCUAGAUGGUAGCAUUAGCAUGUAUGAAUAAGUACAAUGUUAAAUGUGGCACGUUUUUGUUAAUCAUUGUUCUGAAUUCUGAUUGCUAAGUUGCAUAAUCAUUGAUCAUGCGUUUUUAAUAGACUUUAGCAACAUAAUGUAUGUGAUUUGUUACAUGGCCACUCAUUCCAACUAAAAAAGCAUAUUCUUAACUACAUCAAAAAUAAUUAUGCAUACACCAAGAAAAUAAAAACUACAAACCAAACACCAUUAUUUUUAACUACAUAACACCAAAUUCUGCUAAACUUGUAGAACAUAUCUUAUUUUUAAAUCAAACAUAAUACUUUCUUAUUCUAUUUUUUAUAUGCUGAAAUCAAUUGUAUUUUUAGAUGAAAACUUACUCAUUUCGAAUUUUUUCUUCCGAAUUUGUGUUGGGAUUAAACUUUUAAUAUUGAUUCUUAAGCCUAUUAAUUAGUACCAUCACAGCCAUUAAUAAAUCUUGACCAAUUUAAUGAAAAUGAUGUUGAUAAUGUAUUUUUCUUUUUCUGGUGUGUAUCACUAUAUCUUUGUGGUCAUGCAAUGAUUUAUAUUUUGAUUAAGUUGGCAUAAAAACCUUUCAGACUAAACAUCUACAAAAUUGCGACUCCAUUAAAUUACUGUUUGACUAAAAUUAAUUAGUAACUUUUUUUUCUUCUUAAAUCACAUUUGAUUUGUUCAUUCCUUUAUACAAUUUGUUUGUUGGGUUUUUUUUUUGAUGCAAAUAAAGGGAAUUGGACAUGUUUAGGCACUUUUACAAACUUUUAUUUCUUUUGAGACACUUCUCACGUACAAGACACUUUUCCUUGUUUUUGAAAAAUAAAUGGACAAUUAUAUCCCCACCCAUCUAAACCAAAAAUUUACUUAACCGGUUAAAAAGGUUUUGUUUUGAUUUGGUUCUCUUCUAAUAAAUCGACAGUUGAUAUUUACAGAUGAGAAAAGGAAGUUACCUUCGCCGACUGAAAUUAUCUCACAAUAUCAAUGUCGAUGGUUGUUAAUUCUUCCGACCAAGCAAUUACUAUGGAAAGUCUCGGAAUCUCCGGGUCACUGUUUCUUGAAUUGGUUAAUAUUACUGUGCAACGAUCUCUCUCCCUUCAAACAAAACCUCUGGAACAAUUUAAAUUGAGUUGCCUCCGCCUUAACCAAGGCAUUGUGACGAUGUUUUUUGCAACGAAUUAACCGCCACUGUGAUUGGAGAGAUGACGUAGAAGUCGAUUAGGAAUCUCCCCAUGAUUCGGGUUAUCGUUUGGAUCUGACUCUGUUUCUGCAUCGUCUCCUCCGGAAGAAGUUUUAAAAAGGAAACGACCUACAAGGCUUGAUAUACCGAUUGGUGUUGAUGGAUUUGUAGCUCCGAUUUCUUCAUCGGCCGAUGUAACUGUGACGUCGAGGGAGGAAUGUAGAGAGGUUGAAAGAGAAGGUGAUGAUUAUUCUGUUUAUUGUAAGAGAGGAAGAAGAGAAGCUAGAGAGGUUGUAUCAAGUUGGGCUCCAAUGAUAAUGUUAGAUGAGCAAACAAAAAAGUGCUAAUUUUAUCGAUCUAUAAACACAUUCGCAGCAAAUCAAAGACAUACUUGUCCAUUAAUGAUUGUCCAAGCAGUCCAGUCCAUAUGGUCAUCAAAUGACUCACAUGGUAGUUUCAUACUAAUACAUAAGUUUAUACAUAAACAAUAAACGCCAAUCCAAAGUACAUUAUCCAUGUCUAUUUGACCAUUUAUCCACAUGUGUAUAGACAUGUUGAGACAAUUUUAUCGAGUUAUAAACACAUUCACAGCAAAUCAAAGACAGACUUGUCCAUUAAUGAUUGUCCAAGCAGUCCAGUACAUAUGGUCAUCUAAUAAGUCAUAUGAUAGUUUCAUACUAAUACAUAAGUUUAUACAUGAACAAUAAACAUCAAUCCAAAGUACAUUAUCCAUGUUUCUUUGACCAUUUAUCCACAUGUAUAUAGACAUGUUGAUACAAUUUUAUCGAGCUAUAAACACAUUCGCAGCAAAUCAAAGACAUACUUGUCCAUUAAUGAUUGUCCAAGCAGUCCAGUCCAUGAUCAUCUAAAGACUCACAUGAUAGUUUCAUACUAAUACAUAAGUUUAUACAUGAACAAUAAACGUCAAUCCAAAGUAUAUUAUCCAUGUUUCUUUGACCAUUUAUCCACAUGUGUAUAGACAGUCAGUUACGUAGACCUCAGUCAGUUAAGGAACUUCUCCAAAUCUGCCAACAUCUCUACAUAUUUUAAUGUAGACGUAAUAGGUUGGUUUGAGGAUAUGAGGACACCGUCAACAAUGAGGAGAUAAGCAAGCCGAAGUCUAUGGUAAGAAGAUAAGGUCUUGUGAUUAACAUUUUUGAAAUAUCACCUAACGUAGCAUUCAUGUCUUCACCUAUUAGCUCUUCACAAUGUUGGGUAUUAUAAAUAAAAUUAGCACACGAUUGAAUAAUUGGAGCAAAUAAAAUGAUUGGAGAAGAUUAAUACCUUACAUUUGAGGACCGAGUAGAAGUUACUAGCACACGCCGGAGACGACGAAUCGAUUAAGAGACAAGAAAAUGAAGACGAUGACGGGAGAACAACUGUUGACGACGACGACGGGAGAGGACGAAUUAAUGUCAGCCGAUUGAAAGCUUUGUUGAUGAUAACGACGAGAGAGUGACGAGGAAAUGACUUUGUCGGUAGAAAACUCGUCGGGAUGAUCGCCGGAGUCGAGAUGAUGUUAUCGGCGUUGUGAUGAUUUUAACUGUCCAGAUAAAUGAAACUGUAAAAUCGUCGUGAAGGAUUGGGUGAGAAAAAGAAGUUUCUCACAAAUUGGUUUUAGUUUAGAGAUUGAGAUUAAAAAAUUAAACCGAAAACCGGCUAAAUUUGUUAGGUUUUGUUAAACCAACGAUUUCAGGGUAAAAUGGUAAUUCUACUGAGUUAAAGUGAUUAAUGUUUUUAAAGUGCCUAUUUAUGGCUAAAGUUUCAAAAUAGUGCCUUUACGUGUAAUAUUCUCGCAAAUAAAUUAUAAUCUUUUAUAAUUUAUGAAUUAAAAAAUCUUUCGAGAGUCUUUGGUCAGAGAAAAUCUGGUCAAAAUCCCUAAUUAGAAUUUUCCCGCCAGAUUUGUCAAAACACCCCUCCUCGAUUGUCGAUACAGUCCAGGUUCCUGAAAUGUUCUCGUCAGGGCGACAUUAGGGUUUCUUCAUUCCCGUCCUUCAGAUUCGUAUUUGAAACAGGAAGGAGAGAAAAAUGGGUAUACAAGGGCUUUUGCCGUUGUUGAAAUCGAUAAUGGUACCGAUUCAUAUCAAGGAGCUCGAGGGUUGUAUCGUCGCCGUCGAUACAUAUUCAUGGCUACACAAAGGGGCUUUAUCUUGUAGCCGAGAGCUCUGCAAGGGAUUACCCACCAAGAGGUUCGUCUCUCUCCCUCCUCUCAAGUUGCUUGAUGAAUCCCAGAUAUAGAUUGAUAUUGAUUUUGGUUUUGCCCAAUUAGUAGAAAGUGGGUUUCUUUGUCUCGAAGUCUAUGGUCCUAAUUCGUUAGGCAAACUCUGAAAAAUCAAACCUUUUCUGGUUAUUAUUUGAUGGGCAUUUCGAUUUCUAUCUCUUGAGGAUGUUAGGUAAACCAAACUCGAAAGAUUUGGGUGUUCUAGAAUUUUCACCAUUAGGCUUGUUGGGUAACGUGAUUGAGAUCUCGUUUUACACUUUAAGAUGUGUUCUCGUGUUACUGUUCUGGUUCUGGUUUUGUAGAAGAUAAUGAGUUUUACUGGUGUUUAAUCUUUCAGGCAUAUUCAAUACUGUAUGCAUAGAGUGAAUUUACUUCGCCAUCAUGGAGUGAAGCCUAUCAUGGUCUUUGAUGGAGGUCCGUUACCGAUGAAACUAGAACAAGAGAAUAAGCGUGCUAGGUAUGCAAACAUUGGCUAACUAAUAUAAGCAGAAUAUGCAAAUGUAUGUUUGUUUUCUUGGUUAUCAUCUUACAAGUUUCAAACCAAGUCAUUUCUUUUCUAUAACAAUCAAGUUCAGGUCCAGAAAGGAAAAUCUUGCUCGUGCAUUGGAGCAUGAAGCAAAUGGAAAUUCCUCAGCUGCUUAUGAGUGCUACUCAAAGGCCGUAGAUAUUUCACCUUCUAUUGCACAUGAGUUGAUACAGGUAACAGUACUCUUCUCCUGAUAAAAAGAUUCAUAGUUGUCUUUAAUUGCUUUGUUUUCCAUUUCUUUGAACCGAAGUUUUCUAAUUUCUACCAUUCAAGGUUCUGAGGCAGGAGAAUGUUGAUUACGUUGUUGCUCCUUACGAAGCUGAUGCGCAGAUGGCAUUCUUAGCUAUUACUAAGCAAGUUGAUGCGAUUAUCACUGAGGAUUCUGAUCUCAUACCUUUUGGCUGCCUAAGAGUAAGCUUUCUGUUACACUUUGCAUGAGAUAUAUGCAGUUCAUCAGAAUUUCCAUUUCAUUACUGGUAUAUAGAAUUUUAAUUCCUUAUCGACACGACACUAGAGUAUAAUUCAAAACUUCAACUGCUAAUUUUUAUGUAAUAGAUCAUUUUCAAAAUGGACAAGUUUGGUCAUGGUGUUGAGUUUCAAGCCUCCAAGCUACCCAAAAAUAAGGAUCUCAGUCUAUCAGGAUUUUCAAGCCAAAUGCUUCUCGAAAUGUGCAUAUUAAGUGGCUGCGAUUAUUUGCAGUCACUUCCAGGAAUGGGACUCAAAAGAGCACAUGCACUCAUUACAAAAUUCAAAAGCUAUGACAGGGUAUACAUUCUUUUCUCACUUAACAAGGAACUUGGUCAAGCAAGAGCAUGUUUAAUUCAAAAACUGGAUACUAAUUUUUUUACAGAACUAGCUUUAGAUUUUCCGGCAUCAAUCAUAUAUACUCAGUUUUGGAAAAGAGUUUACUUGUGUGAUAUGUUGCUAGUUUGCUUUCAGGUAAUUAAGCACUUAAAGUACAGCACAGUUUCAGUUCCUCCUCUUUAUGAAGAGUCAUUCAAGAGAGCUUUACUGACUUUCAAGCAUCAACGUGUCUAUGACCCAAAUGCUGAAGAUAUCAUACACUUGUGUGACAUUUCUGACAACCUUGGUGAAGAUUCAGAUUUUGUAGGCCCAUAUCCUUUGAGACAAGUAUUUUGACACUAGGCCUCCAUUUAUCAAAAUUAAUUAACAUCUAAUUGAUUUCUUAACAUAAUUCACAUCGAUGCCACAAGAUAUUGCUAAGGGUAUAGCUCUAGGCCAGCUUGAUCCCUUCACACAGUUGCCAUUCCAGGUAUAUUAAGACUUUUUUCUAUUUAUAGUGUCUCCUUCUUUUUCCCUCCCGGAGAUGUUUUCUUGACUCGUUGUCUUGUUUUCUUGAAUGAAUAGGCUGAGAGUGUUACUCCUAAAUUGGCUGUUGAUGAUAUAUCCCGUCCCAAAAGUUUCAAACCUGAAACUGUAAAGAAAAAGCUUGAUUUGCCAGUCCAAAAAAACCUUCUCACCAAGUACUUCUGUAUCCUUAAAUGGCGCAUCCCAUAUAUUUCUUUGCAGUUUAUUACAUUUGGAAUGGGGUUUACUUGGUUUAGUAGGAUUUUUGUUUUGAUCAAGAUGUCCUGUAUGUCUUUAAGAGUUUCAAUAGCUGUUGAAACUGGAGAUGUUUUUUUAUCUGAUCUACUUGUUCUUCACUUAACAUCUGAAAGGCUUUGCGUCUGUUGAGGCAAAAAGAAAAUUCAAGGCUCCUAGGAUAUCACCAAUGUCUCUGACCCCAACUGAUGAGUCUCCAAGCAUUCCUGAUGACAACACACCAGAUUUAGAUGCUCUUUCAAGCCAGACAACAAAUGAAUCCCCGGUUUAUAGCUUGGUAAGCAACUAGAAGAACCACAUUUUUGAUCUGGUCGAAAGUUGUAUCACAAGCUCGAAUCUCUUUGUGUCUUUAGGGUGAGAAUCCAUGUGUUAGCGAAGUUGCAGAGAAAAGAGAUUCACCCGAUGACGGUACAAUAUUUAUUUAUUUCCAUGAUUGAAAAAAAUUAUACUCUAAACUUACUAUCCUGACUUACCUUUUACGCAUCACAAUCUUUAGAUGCAGUGGAAAGGAAUCACAAGGACCUUCAUCAUAAAUACUGCGAACGGGAAGUGGAUAGGCCGAAGUCAGAUAGUUUGAAGGUUAUAGUAAGAAGCAAGUAUUUUAAGCAGAAACAGGAGGACAAAAGUCUGAAACAAUCGAUCCCAUGUCUUAAUGAUUGCUCUGUGAUUGGUCAGAGAAAGGCUGUUAAAACUGUGAUUAACAUGUCAAGCGCGUCUAAAAGAGAAGAGAGUCACAGAGCUAUAGCAACAAGUCCAUGUUUACACCAUGACCGAAUCUACAACGAUCAUGAAGAUGCUAAAGAAGCGAGUUUCUCUGCCAUGAACGAGGUGGCUGAGAGAACAAUAAACACCCACAAGAUUAACCAUCAGAUCAAUGAAGAAGAACAGAACCCAUCCGUUGAAAUUCCUUCUGCCUUUAGUACUCCCGAGAAUGUUAUACCUCUCUCUUCCAUUGCUAUUGAUAGUUGCCAUGGAGUUGCAACAGGGAAGAGGAAGCUUGACUCAGAUGAAAACCUUCACAAGGUUAGAUAUUGUUCUAUUAGCCAAUGUGACAAUGUCCAUAUUUGCCGCUUAUGCUAUCAUUAUUCAAGCCAUUUAUCAACUUUUCUAACUAUUUCUUCAGGAAAAUUUGAAAUCCAAGCACAUGCGCAUGGAUGAAACUGAUACUGGUAAUUAUAGAAAUUCUUGCUCCCAUAAAUACCUGGAUCUAUAUAAUUGUUAUAUAGGCGCAAUGGGAUCUUUGACGGAAACUGAUUUUAUUCAUGUACUAUCUUGUGAAGCUCUUAAUGCAGAAACACCAUUAGAAACCGAUGAUGUUGAGAAGUUUGGAUCGAACAUUUCACAUAUAGGGCAUUACUCAGAAAUAGCAGAGAAAUCAGUGGAAAGAUUUGUCUCAGCUAUAUCGUCUUUCAAAUAUUCUGGGACUGGCUCUCGUGCUAGCGGUCUCCGUGCCCCUCUCAAAGAUAUCCGCAACACUUGUCCGUCCAAAGGGUAAACAUUUUUACCUCUGAUAGUAUAAUAUCUUCAGUACUUUUGGUGAUUGAUGCAAUAUUCUCAUAGAGAUUUAAUUGGUUUUGUCAAAAAAAAGGUUAUCUCUUAAACCAGACAUCAGCAAGUUUGGCUAUGCGUCAAGCAACCGACACAUGGUGACAAAGUCAAGGAGAAUGUGAGCUCAGAUUUGUAAGUUAACCAUCUCUUUAGAGCCACAUGUGAGAGCUUUAGCUUUAGAAUUAACUUCUUGGUCGCAUGAUGAUAUUUUUGGUGUUGUGUCUGUAUUAGCUUUCUACUUACUGUGCAUAGCAUUCUUGUUCAAAGACACUUCACACAACAGUUGGAUUCAUAAAUGAAACAACUUUCAACUUGUCAUCUCUAGGAAAAUCAUAAAUUUUUGAAAAUUGUUUUCAUAAAGUGAAAGUUGCAGAGAACCAAAAGGCAAUAGUGUGCAAGCAAAUGCAAUAAAUGUUAUAAUUGGGCCAAAUGCAAUAGAUAGAGCUUUCAAGAGAUUUAUUGAGAAAAAGACAAGCUCUAAUUUCUGUAUCAAAUGAUUUAGGAUUGUUUGUAUGCACACGUAAUAAAUUUAGGGAAAUUUGUGGCUAAAAAGGUAUGCACGUGAACGCUAAAAGAAACAUAUCAUUUGAUAUGUGCAAGUCCAAUCAGAUUCUGACAGUUUGGAUCAUCAAACUCGAAGUUUCUGCUUUUUCUUACACACGUGGUCCACUUGUACUUCCACGUCAUCUCACUUACUUUUGCUGUCUUUUUCCUUUUUUAGUGAGUAAAAAUCGUUUUUGUAAUUCACAAUACUACAAGUCUACAAUGGAUGUUGCGAUGGGCCAACGUAAUCAUCAAAUGCAAUGUGAACAAACCGAUGGUUGAUAAUGCGAUUCUAGCUAUGCGUAAGCAUUCUAUUUUCAAUAAACCAGUUUUAAUCAACGCAAAUUAGUUGAUCAUAUAAAACGUAUAAAACGUAUUUCUGCAAUUAGUUGAUCAUGAUUAAUAAUAAAAAAAUACUAGGUGAUACAUGAUUUGUUUUCCAAAUAAUAGAAUAAAUAUCCUCUUCUUUUUCUGCUAUAUUGAAAAAUUGUUUUUGACAUGUGAGAGUCAUGAAUCGUCGUUGUUAGUCACGCUAUAAUUGCACAAAACUUUCUUAGUCUUUUUUUUUUUUUUUGUUAAGAAACUUUCUUGGUCUUUUCCUUCUCAAUAAAUGACAGACUAGAAGAAUUUUAUGCAAGUAUAAUGUGACUUAUUAUUUCCUUGUCGGUUCUUUAAUUUUUUAAAACGCAUGUUUAUAAGAUAAAGGAGCUGCGUAAUCUAAAGACUGGGCAUGUUAAAUUUGAAUUUGAUACAAUCUCUGUUAAAGUAUAAACAUUACUAUAAUAUCGCUAUAAGAAUGUGAAAAACAAGCUUGUAAAGUUAGAAUAUUAUAAUAAUGUAUAUUACAUAAUUUAGUCAUCAGUAACAAAGUUAAUGGAUAAGAACUUGGCUAGAUGCAUGUGCCGUCGGCUUAUAAUCAUGUCAUCAUGUGUCAAAGUAUAUAUCUACGAGACGCUAAUAUUCCAAAGGGAUGGCUAGUAAGAAAAAGUAAUUAUGUCAUGAUCGUUAUUAUUUUAUGAUAAGACCUUAAUUACCUAUUGAUCUCUUGCUUAUUUUAUAAAGAUAAGGUUUGAAUAAUUGAUUAAGAACAGAAGAAUUUGCUUGGGGUUGGUUAAUCGAGUAUUUAUUAAUCAAGUUGUUUUUGUUUGACUAUCAAGUUUUUACUACUGCUUCUCCCUACCAAUUUGAUUAUAUAUACGGUUUUUUCAAGUCUGAUUCAACUAGAUAGAACCUUAGGUAAUUUAAUAUCUUCAAAACUGGAUAAAUUUACUUGACCAUCAUUUUAUAUCGGUUAAGCUUGACCAUGUUAUUUUGCUCUUAAAGAAAUUAAUAUAUUAGACUCAUCUUAAGGUUAGAACUCAAUAGUUCAAUCAAUUCACUACAUUUUUUUUUUUAUUUUUUUUUAAAAUAUAGAUGUUUUUAAACGUCAAAAACACCUAGAAUUUCAUAAAUUCUUAGUCUGGAAUUUGGUCUAGAAUCUUCAAAAUUUAUUAUGAAAAAAUUACAUGUAUAAAAUAAUGCAAAUUUUCUCGCGUUGAUGUCACCGGCCAGAAAUGUCUCUUUCUUGCUCUCUCUCAUAAUCAAUUACAACAGAACAGCUGUUUCUGUUCGUCUUUUGUCCUCAUCUUAUUCAUUAGAGAAACAAAUAAUAGAGAUCUUCAUAAUACAUUCAUAAAUUUCAUUUUCUUACGACAAAUUCAAUUUCGUCAGCGCAAAAGAAGUGUUGAUGAAGAACAACAAUUAGAGCAAAAGUAAAACUUAUAUUUUUCUUCUUCUUUUUUCUAUUACAUUUAAGAGAAUCAAAAAUUAAGAAUAAACAAGGAAAUUAAUGUUCUUUUCUUUUUGACAUUUUCCUUUUGACAUUCAAUUAAAAAUCAAACUAAAAAAAAAACAAUUACGAGAACCGCUGAUUACUUCUUCGACUAAAAACAAAAAAAAAAAAAUUGGAAGAUCGAAAAAAAUUAAUCAAAAUCCAAAACCAGUCCGGUUUAAUCCAAUUUCAAGCUUCCAAAAACCCGGUUAAUUUGAGAACCGAAUUACGAACCCGGCUCAGAUCUCGUCCUUUAAGAGUUCUUCCGUUACCUGUACAAACGGAAAACGCCAUUUGACCUCCUUCCAUCCUCCGUCCAACUAUCAAAUGCGGCGGAAUCAUUUUCCUUCCUCCGUCGUCAUCGGAAUAUUCCUCCUCCGUCGAAUACCUCCUCAUCGGUAUGUUAACCGGAAGCGAACUAGAAAACGCCGUCACCGCUGAAGGCAACGGCGUCGUUUUACUCCGUCUAGAUGACUUGUUCCACACUCUCUCAGAAUUUUCCCGGAAAUCCACCGGACGGUUAUUCUCUUUCUCGUUACCGUCUUCUCGCCGGCGAAUCGGAAAGUAAUUGUCAGAGAAAAUGAUCUCAGAUUCGUCGAAUUCUUCCGACAUUUUCAAGAAAACAAAUGUUUUUAAAGAUGAAACUAAAAAAGGGAUUAAUAAAGUUAGGGUUUAUGAAGAAUUAAGAUUAGAAUUGGAUUGGAGAAAACAGUAAGAAGAAGAAGAGAAAUGUGAAGGGUUUAUAUAGAAUAGAGGAAACGUAGAGAGUACUCAAGUUUUUUUUUUUGUGUGUGGUUAUGUGAUGAUGUCAUCAUAAUGGCGUUGAGUGCGGACCCCGCUUUUCUUUCUAUAUCUAUACAUUGUGUAUAUAGAAUUUAAUUAAUUUUAUACUUUCCUUUAUUUUAACACUUUUUAUAAUAGAAUUAUGUUUUGUCUUAUCCUAUAUCUGUAUAAUAUAAGAUCGAGGACUCUCGUUGGAUACUUGGAUUGAAUUUCUUAUAUUUUUAGCCUAACUAUAUCACAUUGGACACAUCUUAUCCAUAGAAUGUCAUUGGUUUAAGAGGUUUUGAAAAAUAGAUUAAUUUUGUUUUUGGUAGGGUGAAAGAUAUAUUAAUUGGUAUUAAGAUUAAAAUAUAGGAAGUUUGAAUUAUUUUGGUAAAUUUGAAUUUUUCAUUUUCGAAAAAGUAAAUUUUCACUUUAGAAGAUGUAUUCCCCAAAAGUUUAAGUCAAAGUGAUACAUUUAUUUAUAUUUUCAAGUUUUUUCAUAUUAAAUUACUAGAUAAAUCAUUUUCGUCAAGAUUUUUUUUGUUGAUUGAAUCAAGACAUCGACGACACAGAAAAAAGAAUCAAAUUAAGAUAAUGCUAUGUUAAUAUUUGAUUAUAAUUCCUUUACAAUAAUAACCCAUCCGGAUGAUAAAAUGUGAUAAUAAUUAACAAGACUGAUUCAAUUUCAAUUUCAAAUGACCUAGUCGGUUUAAAUAUAAAGGUAGUUAAUAUAUAUCUCAUAUAUAUAAAUCAAUUAUAAUUUAUAAUAUGGAAAAAAAAAUAUAUGGUAGAAUAGAACCGUAGAAGUAUAAUAAGUUUCCCCUCUUUUGGGCUUAGAACCCUCUUUCUCUCUCAGUGUCUUUUCACUAGGGUAAGAAUAGAGCUUUUGGCUGAAUAAUCUCGAUCCCUCAGCCGCAUUCCACUGUUCCCUUGUCUGAUAAAGCUCAAUUCUUGGGGUUUCUCAAUAGUGUUUUCAAGGUUUCCGUUCGAUCUUCCAUCGGUUUUCUUCUACUAAAGGUCUCCGCGGUUCAGUAAAGCUUCUUGUAGGGGGAAGUUCUUUGAGGUUCUGCAAUGUCGGCUGCAAUGGACAGAGCUUUAAUGGAGAAGUCUUUGGAUGACAAAGAUGAACCAUUCGAGAUGCCGGAUUUGCCUGAUCUCAUGUCUUGUGAAAGGAAUAAGCUCUGUUUAAUAGGGAGGGUUCUCAACCCUAGUUGUCAACCGAUGAAACACUUGAUUCGUAAUAUGCCAAGGAAGUGGCAGAAAGAAGGGAAAGUCAAAGGUGUAGCUCUUUCGGAUGAAAGAUUCCAGUUCAUUUUCGAUUCCAAACAUGAUCUUGAAGAUGUCCUGGCGAAAGGAGUGCAUUCCUUUAAUGAAUGGUCCAUUAUUGUGGACAGAUGGUAUGAGCACCCUCCAGACGACUAUUUACGGUUCAUGCCCUUGUGGGUUCAAAUCUGGAACAUUCCGGUGAAUUAUUACACUGAGAAAGCUAUCACGAAGCUUGGUGAUCUCAUUGGUGAGGUCAAAGAGGUGGUGUUCAACCCGGAUUUGCAUCAGGCUCAGAAAUUUGUCCGGGUUAAGGUGCUCUUUGAUGUCUCUAGACCGUUAAGGAGAUCCAAAGUCAUCAAUUUCAAACAUGGAGAAUCAGCCACGGUAAAAUUCCAUUAUGAAAGGAUUCAAAAGAGGUGUUAUGAAUGCCAGCGGUUAACUCAUGAGAAAGAUAUGUGCCCUCUCCUGAUCAAGGCUCGUCAAGACAAAGCGGCUGCUUCGAGACAAGGAGUAUCCAUUCCAAGAGCUCCACCACAGCCUGUUUUAAAGGAAGGGGACCCUCUUUUUGGUGUCUUACAAGAAAGUCAGGUGGGUUUGGAUCCCAACACAGGAAGACCAAGAAUUGCUCCAGAGGUCUUGGAAGGUAUGAGGCAAUACCUCAGAGUUGCAAAUGCAGAGGAGCGUUCUAUUCGGGUAGACAGAGUAAUUCAAUCUGUUAGAGAGACUGAAAAAGAUCCCUUUACUCAGAAAACUGUUCUGCGAUUGGAAGCCUUACCCUUAGUGCACUAUGAUCUGUCUAAGGAAAAAGGGUUGGUCUUCGGUUAUGAUCAGGAAGAAUCUUCAAGUCAAGGAAUCAGUUUCAACCUCAACUCGUCUUCUGGUGUUGCUGAAUCGUCACAGCCGCAAGACGCUAGAGAGUGGUUGUUGAAGAAGCCGAUCAGGAAUUCCUUCACGGAGGCUGGUAGCUUCCUUGCUCUCUCUCAACCUUUUCCGGAUAGUUCAAUGGUUCAGAGUCCUAAUCUCUUUGAGAUAGGCUCUACUGGGACUACUACGAAAAAGACGAAGCAAAGGAACAGAUCGCCCAAACAUGCUAGGAAACCUAAGCCUAGAGAUCCUUUGUGUAGUUUGUCUGAUCAAAAGCUCAAAGAAGGUGCAGCAUCUGGUUCUAAAGAGAAUAGAAAGGCAGUUGACAAGGGUCCGAGCACUGCAAAAUCCAUCAAGCUCAACCCGAAAUUGGUGGUCCCAAAUGAGGGACCGUCCAACGCCUAAUGAGUCUUAUCAGCUGGAAUUGUCAAGGAUUGGGACGGUCUCAAGACUUGGCGAUUCCUAGACUCAUGGAAAUGAGGCGUUCUCAUUUUCCUGAGGUGUUAUUUUUAAUGGAAACCAAGAAUUGUAGUAAUGUAGUAGUAGACCUGCAAGAAUGGUUAGGGUAUGAGAGGGUUUUUACAGUUAAUCCAGUGGGCCUUAGUGGCGGUUUGGCCUUGCUCUGGAAAAAAGGUGUUGUUGUUAAUGUAAAAUUUGCAGACAAGAAUCUUAUUGAUUUUCAUCUCCAAUUUGGUUCCUUUGAUUUCUAUGUCUCUUGUGUUUAUGGAGAUCCGGCUUUUAGUAACAGGCAUCUGGUUUGGGAAAAACUUACUAUGAUUAGGCUUAACAGAAAAGAUCCUUGGUGUAUGCUAGGGGAUUUUAAUGCCAUUUUGCAUAAUGGUGAGAAAAAAGGAGGUCCCAGAAGAGGUGAUUCUGCUUUCCUUCCCUUCAAAGAUAUGCUGGAAAGUUGUGACAUGUUAGAGUUACCAAGCAAAGGAAAUGCUUUUACCUAGGGAGGUAAGAGAGGAAAUUUGUAUAUUUAGAGUCGCCUAGAUCGUCGCUUUGGGAACAAGAACUGGUUCAAGGCUUUUCCGGUGUCCAAUCAAGAGUUUUUGGAUAAAAGGGGUUCUGAUCAUCGUCCUGUCCUUGUAAGAUUGGAUAAGACCACGGUGGAGUACAGAGGCAAUUUCAGGUUUGAUAAACGUCUUUUCAAUCAACCUAACGUAAAAGAAGUCAUUUGUCUAGCAUGGAAUGGUAAUCAAACUCUCAGGAGGGUUUCUACUAUGGAAAAGCUCAAGAUGUGCAUAUCAGCUUUAAGUAAAUGGAAACAGGAGAACAAUUGUAACUCGUUGACUCGGAUUACUCAGGCGAGGGCUGCUUUAGAGUUUGAACAGUCUUCUGAUUUCCCUAGUACUGAAUUGGUUUGGACUCUUAAAAAUGAUCUUUGUAAAGCAAACCAAGACGAAGAAACUUUUUAGAGUCAAAAAAGUAGAGCAAAAUGGAUGCACAGUGGCGAUAUGAAUACCUCCUUUUUCCAUGCAUCUGUCAAGGAUAACAGGGGUAAACAGCAUAUUGAGCAGAUGAAUGAUAUCAAUGGUCAUCUACACAAAGAUGAAGAGUCGAAAGGUUUGAUUGUGGUUGCCUACUUCAAUGAGUUAUUCAAAUCCUCGAAUCCUAGCAGCUUUCAGGAUCUUUUUGAGGAUUAUCCAUCUCGGGUGACUGAAGGAAUGAAUACUGUGCUUGCAGGAUCUGUCUCUAAGAAUGAGGUUAGAGACGCAAUUUUUGGGAUUAGAAGCUCAAGUGCUCCUGGAGCUGAUUGGUUCACUGGGUUCUUUUUCCAGAAAUACUGGAGCAUCAUUGGCCCUCAAGUUACAAUGGAGAUUUAGAAUUUCUUUAGUCAAGGGACUUUUCCUAAAGAAUGGAAUUUCACUCAAUUGUGUUUGCUCCCUAAAAAGAAGAAACCAGACAAGAUGACAGAUUUAAGGCCUAUAAGUCUGUGUUCAGUUAUGUACAAGAUCAUAUCAAAGAUUAUGGUUAAGCGGCUGCAACCUUUUCUCCCUGAUCUGGUCUCUCCUAAUCAAUCAGCUUUUGUGCCUGACAGGUUGAUCUCAGAUAAUAUUUUGAUAGCACACGAAGUGGUACAUGGACUGCGCACUCACAAGACGGUGUCUAAAGAGUUCAUAGCAAUCAAAUCUGAUAUGUCCAAAGCGUUUGACAGGGUCGAGUGGAACUAUGUUAAGGCCUUGUUAGAAGCGUUGGGUUUUCAUCAGAAAUAAGUGGCAUGGUUUAUGUUCAUGAUUACUUCAGUCUCCUUCACAGUUCUGAUUAAUGACAAAGCUCAUGGCAAAAUCAUUCCAACAAGAGGGUUGAGGCAAGGAGAUCCGUUAUCACCCUUCUUGUUUAUUUUGUGUUCAGAAGGUCUAACUCACCUCAUGAACCGUGCUGAAAGCCAGAGUCUCAUUAGUGGUAUCCGCUUUUCUCCUAAUGGACCAGCUAUUCACCACCUGCUGUUUACGGAUGAUAGUUUGUUCAUGUGUAAAGCGGAUAAGAAAGAAGUGGCAGUGAUAAAAAACAUUUUCAAGGUUUAUGGUGAUGCUACAGGACAAAUGAUAAAUUUUGAAAAGUCUAGUAUCACUUUUGGGUCAAAGGUUGAAGAGGGUUGUAAAGAGUGGAUUAAAGCAGCGCUGGGAAUCACAAAUGAGGGUGGAGCAGGCACUUAUCUCGGUCUCCCUGAGUGUUUCAGCGGUUCUAAGGUCCAGCUUUUAGACUAUAUUAGGGACCGGUUGAAGUCAAGGCUGUCGGGUUGGUUUGCUAGAAUCUUAUCUCUUGGAGGUAAGCAGAUUCUUCUUAAAGCAGUUGCGAUGGCGAUGCCGGUUUACGCAAUAUCCUGCUUUAAACUAACUAAGACCACUUGUGAGAACCUAUCAAGUGCAAUGGCUGACUUUUGGUGGAACGCUCUUGAACAUAAAAGGAAGACUCACUGGGUCAGUUGGGAGAAGAUGUGUCUGUCUAAGGAAAAUGGAGGGUUGGGCUUUAGGGAUAUUGAAAGUUUCAAUCAAGCUCUUUUGGCAAAGCAAGCUUGGAGAUUAUUACAAUAUCCCUCCUGUCUUUUUGCUCAGUUUUUCAAAAAAGUCGGUAUUUUCCUGAUGAAGAUUUCUUAGAAGCUGAUCUAGGAGCCAGACCAUCCUAUGCUUGGAGAAGUGUUUUGCAUGGCAGGGAUUUGCUUACUAAGGGGCUAAGGAAAGAAAUUGGUAAUGGUAAUUCCAUAAGUGUAUGGAUGGACAACUGGAUUUACGACAAUGGACCCCGUAUCCCUCUUCAAAAGCAUUUCUCUGUUAGUUUGAACCUGAGGGUGAAAGAUUUAAUCAACCUUGAUGGAAGAUGCUGGAAUAGAGAUUUGCUUCAGGAUUUGUUUUUUCAGGUGGAUAUUGAUCUCAUUUGUAAGAAAAAGCCUGUGGUUGACAUGGAUGACUUUUGGGUUUGGUUGCACUCUAAAUCAGGAGAGUAUUCGGUUAAGUCCGGUUACUGGUUGGUCUUCCAAUCCAAUAAACCGGAGCUACUCUUUAAGGCUUGUAGGCAACCGUCUACUAAUGGGUUGAAAGAAAAGAUUUGGUCCACAUCUACUUUUCCCAAAAUCAAGCUCUUUCUUUGGAGAAUAUUGAGUGCUGCUCUUCCUGUUGCGGAUCAAAUUCUCAGAAGAGGAAUGAAUGUUGAUCCUUGUUGUCAAAUCUGUGGUCAAGAAGGUGAAUCUAUAAACCAUGUGCUUUUUACUUGUUCAGUGGCUAGGCAGGUAUGAGCGUUAUCGGGAGUCCCCACCCCCGAGUUUGGUUUUCAGAAUAGCUCCAUUUUUGCCAACAUUCAGUUCCUUUUUGAGCUGAGUUUUUUAGCCAGGGUUCCAGUUCAGGUAAAAAGGUCUUGGCCUUGGGUUUUAUGGAGGUUAUGGAAGAAUAGAAACUUGUUAUUAUUCGAAGGAAUAAGUUUUUGCCCCUUAAGCUCCAUUCUUAAGAUAGGAGAUGAUGUGUAGGAAUGGUUUCUGGCACAAUCUCUUAUCCGUCUAGUGGAUCCAGAGGAGAACAAUCGGGCUGACCCUUGUAGGCCACGUUGGGACCCUCCUCCGAUAGGUUGGGUUAAAUGCAAUGUUGGAGCGGUCUGGUCAGGGAAAAAAAAGCUUUGUGGUGGGUCUUGGGUCGUGAGAGAUGAUCGUGGUCAGGUUCUGCUUCACAGCCGUAGAGCCUUCGGGAAUCUUACAACUAAAAAGGACAGUCAGAUCACCUGUGUUCUUUGGGCCAUUGAGAGCAUGGCUAGUCAUAAAUUAUCGAAGGUUCUGUUUGCUUUCGAACCGGGAGACUUAUUGUUUGCUUUUGUUAGGCCGAAAGCGUGGCCUUCUUUUGCUUUACAGGUUUCAGAACUAACACAUUUUUUUGAAAAGAUUGGAGAUUGGAAAGUGGUGGAGGAAAAUGUGGUUUCAAACAAGGGGGCUUCUCUUAUAGCUCAAAGCGUGGUCAAGGAUGGAAGGCUACAAUCUUAUGUUGCAGUUGGUCAUCCGCUUUGGCUUCAUCAGUUCUUUGAGGGUGAGAGAAUCUUUCUUUAGGUCUUCUCUCCUUGUAUUUGGUUUGUUUUUUGGUCCCUCUCUAAUCUUUGGCUCUGUAGUUGAAUGGCACUUUCUAGUGUUUCAUUCUUAACCGUAACUGGUUUUUUUUAAAGAUUAUGUAUCCCAACUUUUAUAUAUAUCCUUUCAGUAAGAAAAAAAAAAAAAAAAGUAUAAUUAAUAUAGAUGGAAAGUUGGAAUGAUACUUUUGAAGUGUUUAACUGAAAAAGGAAGCUAGGUGCCUGCGCUUACUGACAAAUCAGUCUCCGUUUCUUGUGGCCCACGUAUUGUUCCACAUUAUUAUUUUAUUUUGUGAUAAACACAUUAUUGCAUUUCAUUAUUUCAAUUGAGUAAUAUUUUUACACAUCAGAAAACAAUAUUAAAUACAUAGCGUGAAUUCUUUGAACUGUUUUGGGCAGUGGUCCAAUUUACUUCAAUCAGAAAACGAAACGAUAAAGCUUUCUCAUUAUCUUUAUAAUCAUCAUAUGGUACAUAAUUUAGUUUAUGUUUUAAAUGUAUUGGUUGUUUUACAAGGGAAGAUUAAUGAAUUAGUACGUUGUAUGUAUCUUUCGAACCUCUUAAAAGUUAAACCUUAAUAAGUUUUGGCAAAGACCAUUUUAAGUUUUUUAAAAAGGGUAUGUAACCCUUUUGUUCGUUGUCUACAAUUUACACAUGUACAUAACCAAUUUUGAACAUAAAAUAUGUUAUAAUAUGUUCAAACAAAUCACUACACUAUAUGCAUGUUUUGGAAAAAAACUUGCGAAUCUUAUUUGCCUAAUUAUUGGCCAUUCGGGUGCUAUGUACACCCAUUUUCUCAUUUCGUGAUCCAUUUUUAAAUCAAAAUUAGGAGAUUAUGCAUGUGUUCAUUCUUACAUUAAAAUUAUUAUUCCUUGGUGUUUGUUCAUUCUUACUGUUGGUAUUAACUAUAUGAGUUUAUAAUGGCUUGUUUCAGUGAAAUAUUUGACAAAAACGAAAGUUUUAGUAUCUAUAAAUAAAAAAACGACGUUGAUUGAUUAGGAAGUUUGGGUUUCUUAAAUAAGAAAUUUUUGUUUUGGAUUUGAUGGAUAUUUUCUCCCUCAUUAUUGGUAUAUAAAUAUACUAUAAUGUUGAAAUUUUUUAUUGUACCAAAUUACUAACAACGUUAUGUUGAUAAUAAACGGCAUGAGUGAUCCGUUUUGUAAAGUAACUAAAUAAGAUUCUUUACGUGCUCAACAAUGACAACAUCACGGGGUUUUGUUUCUAACAUACCCCAUCUCUUUCCAAGCUUUCAAACUCAUAUAUUCUAAGGAUACAUUGUAUUUAAAGAAACUAUCAUAAUACUUAAAUCAUGGAAAUAAUGGAAUGAUGGAAGAAUUAUAACCAGUGGCAUCAUGUUCGAAAAUAUGAAAGUCCAUAAAACAAAACAUCUUAUAAGAAGGUUGCGAUUUUGGAAGUAUCCAUAAGUCAAAGCAGAGCAACCAUAAUCAGUUAAGCAAUUGGUCAAAUUAUGCUAACCUAUACCACUAUCUCAGCUUUUGGUUCCAAUCCUUUUCUUUUUGGAUAUACAUAAACCAUAAAAAAAAAUUGAAAACGUCAGUGACUAUAAUCGUUUUUUUUUUCUCAGACACUAAAGACAGAAAUUUAAAACAGUUAAUUGUGUUCACAUUUUAAGCCAUAAACAGUCACAGAAUCGUAAUAAUGAUAAUGUGAAAACGGUUGCAACCGCGUAAAGGAUUAUGAAGAAACCGUACUUACCCAAUAUCACACCAUUCUUUAAACAAAUUUGAACGACAUGCUCUAAGCGACUUCUAUCAGAAUUUCGAAGACUUUUACAAACUCAGUACUUUUUUGGUAAUACUAUUUUCAUAUUUUAAAAUGAAGAAGUAAACGACACAAAUAGUUGCGGAAGUGACAAAAGAGUUUUGGGCAUUGGAAGUGUGUUGUGUUAAUUUAUGGCAUCGUUGGCCUCGUCAAUGCAAAACCCUCGUGGGUCUCACUUUCCAGAUCUAUCUUGAAGUGUGAUAAGGCCUUUUGUGAACCAAACACGUGUAAUGAUUUCGUCAUCAUCAAAUACGGAUCUCGAAGUUUAUGCUUUGCUUCAAAUUCGAUUGAUGGGACUCUCAAUGUCGUCUCUGUACUUGUCUUCUCUUACGUGGCAGAUUUUAUACUCUUUUAAGAUUCAUUUAUUUUUGGAGUAACUAUAUUCCUAAAUCUUUUGAUUCGUGGACUGAUACUUGAUAAGUGAUCACUCUUGAAAUAAGUAUGUGUUUAAAAAAUAGUUUAUGCUAGCUGAUAAGCUCCAUAUAGGCUAUAUAGCUCGAUUUUCUUUUUAUUGAGUUUGAAACUAAAUUAUGAUUAGAUUACCAGACAAAAAUAUAGAUACAGAUAUUCUAGAAAAUUGUGGUGGGGUAAGAUCAUAUGAAUACAAUUAUGUACUAUACAAUAGAGUUUGAGUCAUUAAAUAAUUAUUUUAUCUUUUAUUAAUGCGAUGAUCCUAAAGUGUAUACAUUGACACGUCUUAAAGAUUGUGAAAACGACUUCAAUGUCAUCUAUAAAUUUCUUUGAAAAGAAAGAAAACUUCAGAAAAGAGCGCAGGAGUCAAGAGUUAGGACUCGAUUUUUGUAAAUUCUUUUUCGUUAAUUUGGUGUUGCUAUUUUGAGCCACGUUACUAAUAUGGUUUGAACACCUGUCAGAUAAAUUCAUAUAUAAUCAGAUAAGCAUGCAAUUAUAUUUUUGUUGAUUUAAUAUUUCGGUAGAAAGAAUAAGUAAUUUUGUUAAACGAUUCAUCAAAUCACAAAUUAGAUAAGAUGAUGAGUUUAGAUUUGUUCUAUGAUCAUCACAUACGUGUGCGUAAGUAUUUGCGUAGGCAGAUAUAUUCCUGCGUUAUUAUUAUAUAGAUAUUGUAGAGUCAAUGUUGUGCUGGCUGCAAGACGAACCACAACUAGAUUUAGUAAAUUACUAAUGCUUGCCCGAAGUUAUGGUUGAUUUAAUACGUACGUAAAAGUCAAAUGGCAAUGUUAGUCACACGAAAUUGCUGAAUUUAAUUACGUAAGUAUACGUACGGAUUUGUCCAAUGAUUGAUGUUUAUUCUUAGGGUUUUGGAUACUUAUUUACUAAGCAACGUAAAUGUUAGAUAAUCUAAUAACAAAUGAUUUGGAAAAGAUGCUUACUAAGUUCUCAGAUACAAAUGAUCAUGGCGUUAGUUCCAUAUGAUUUGAUUCGAAAAUUUAUGAUGACAAUACAUUAAAAUCCUCGGUUUUAUUGGCUAAUGCUUUAUUCACAUUUCACCCCCUACUUCGAAAAAUAUUGUAGUUAUUAUGGUUGUUUGAUAAUUGGUUAAUUUUGUUGGUGCUAAAAAGAAUUUAGAUUAUAAGUUCAUGACAACAAACAAGCCUUUACUCAUCCAAUAUGUUUGUACUAUUUUUGUGUAUGUACAUCACAAUAAGAUUUUAAUGUACUUAUUAAUGUGUUUUGUAUUAAUGAUUUUUAAUUCCAAUAUUUUAGAAAAAAAGUUUGUUUUAAUGUGGGAUUCGAACUCAGGAUUCCACGUACACAUGCGGUUAAAUAAACGGGGAAAAGAUUGUAUCUAGAGUUGUGGUCUUGUGGAUCUUAUGAAAUAGUAUGAAAUUUGGACGACAAUUUUAGUUACGUUCAUAAUUGUAUGGUCGUUUAGUUGGAUAACUAAAUUAUGAUUUAAGAUAUAUUAGCCCAAUUAAAGGAAGCCUGACCCAGUUCGGCCCAAUUGUAGCUGAGAACUUAGUAGGCCUGGUCGGCACUGAUAGCUAUAUAGAGGAUAACAUCUAUCCCCCGAUGGUUCAAAGUUCAAACUUUAACCCAAGUACCCAACCAAUAUUGAUGGGCAAUGAAGUUACAUCAUUGUCAUACAGUGCAAGUACUCUUUAAAAUUAUGAAUUUGUAACAACUAACAAAGUAAUAGAUCUAGACAAGAUCAUGAAAUUACAUUGCAUUAUAGUAUUUUUUAAGAUAAACAAAAUGUAACUAAAACAUAUAAUUUUAGUUUAUGCAUGGGUAAACUACUACAAAAAAACAAGGGAUUUAAAGUCACUUUUUAAAUACCCUAACGUAAACACUGACUCUAUCUAACAAUAUAAAGUGACUUUUUAAAAUGACUUACAAGUGAUGAGGUUAAGUGUUUUAACAUCACUUGAAAAACUAACUUUAAAACUAACAUCAAAACAAAAUGGGCUUUAAUUCUUUAAUGAACUUUAUUUUUUUUUGUCUCAAUGCAAAACACAUUUGCAUUUACACUUAUGUUUUGUCUGAAUCCAAAUACAUAUUUGUUUGAAUCCUUUACAUGUUGUCUGAAUCAAAGUUGUAAAUAAAACAAGGGACAAUAGCCAAAUGAAAUCAAAUAUCUCAAUAGUAAAAACAAUACAUAAUAUAUAGUUUCAUGUUUAGAAAAUCAAAUAGAAGAAUACAAGAAUAUUGUUAAUUUGGUAUACAAGUGCCUUGUUCUCAUCCAAUUUUUAUAUCAAAUCUGAUAUGCACUUCUUCUUGUACCUCUUCUGAAGCAUAUCUGAACUGAAACAAAAACAUAUAUGGGCAUAUGGCAGUCUCAAUUUUUCUCAGUCUUACAACACUAUAAUAACAUGAUCUUUUUAUUCUACAACUACAACUUAGACGAUAAUAACACUACUUGUACCUUUUGAUUCCUUAACUACAACUUAGCCUUAACUACAAACGAUUUGAAGAAAUAGACUAAUCCAUAAACCUUGGGAUUCAAUGCUAAUCUAAAAGGUGUUUUCAUUAAAUGAUUUGGAGAAAAAAACUCAUCCAUUAAUUCACUAAUAAAUAGUUUCAGUUGAGUUAAGUCGUUAUUCAAUAACUUAUUCUGAUAGUUCUAAAUACUACUAUUGGAUAGGAGUGUUAUAAUUUUCAUAGCUGUUUGUUGAAUGUGGACGUGAGCAGCAAGGCAGAAGAGUAAAAAAACCUCACUUCUCUCAAACCGUUACUAAUCUUAAUUUCUCUAAUUUUGUGACGGAAUAAUCAUAUCAUUCAUAUGUCAAAUCAAGUCUAUGGAUAUACAUGUUUUUGCAAUAAGAAGUAAAAUACAACAUUGUCCCGACAGAUCACUAUGGCCUGUAAAUUGUCCUAUAUCAGAAGCAAUCAAUUUUCGAAUGAUAUAUGUUGUGUCCAAACAAUUUAUUACUAAACCAACAUUUUGGGAUCAAUAAUGUCAUGCGAAUUCGUUUAAUACUACUAUCUUUAAAGUGAAGGUAAAGUAAGCAAAGAGUUACAGUUUGCUAUUUUUUUUUUUUUUUUCGAGUUAGAUGAUUUCGACCAUAUCAUAAGCUAGCAUGUUAGAUUCCGAUAUUCCUCGAAUUAACAGAUAAAUUACUUAUAUAUCCGUUUCUAUUAUGCCAUUAUAAUUUCUUGCAAAAGCAUAGAUCACUAAUGUAUAUGAUCUCUGUCGUAUAGCUGUCCAAAAAUGGAGAAUUUAUUUCAAGACAAGAGAUUAAUUCACAUAAAUUCAUCAAACAUUACAAAGUUACCCCCUCUGUUUUAAAUUGCAGAUAAACAUGAACCUGACCGUCAACGUCUUGGAAGAUUUAGUUUAAAGCAGGAGCACGUUCCUCACUAACUCAGUUUUUGACUUUUAUUUGGUGUCCUACAACUAAAACUCCCAACCAACUCUCAUUAACUGCAUGCAGUUCCAACUCACUAAACAAAAAAAGCAUUUAGGACCAAUUAAUCGCAACCAUUGAUUCCUUUAUAAUAAGACCAAUUUGGGUGAUAGUACAUCGUGAAAUAGACCCGCCAGUUGUAAACACAAAAUAAACAAUAGCACUAAUGAAGAACCAAUUAAUGUAAGUGUUUUUUUCUUUCUUUUUGGUAUCCAUGUUAAGUGACCAAUUACUAUAAUUUUCUUGGUUAAGGUUAACGUACAAAGGAUAUUUAAGUUAUAGAUUUUACUGGUUGAUAUAAAAAAAAGAAGUUAUAGAAUUGACUUUUCUAGACUGAAUAAAUGACGAAUAAGUUUCGUUUGGAAUCAAGUUUGUGGAUCAAUCAAAACCCCUUACUAGGUGCAUCAUGCUUGUCCACACAAAAAUGUUUAUCGAUCUUGUUUCAACGAUUAAUUACAAAUCUCUGUGAAGGCUGAACUAUUUCAUCAAUGCAAAGUUCAUAAAUUGAUAAACGUAAUUUUAUCUUCGUGACGACUAAGUGAUGAGACACCUCUCACACGUAUUAUGCUUUUGUCUACCAUAGCUAGCCAAAUCUUUUCAUCACUUUUUAAUCGUUUUUCAUUAUAAGUUAUUUCUUUACAGUUUACCAUUUUUUUUUAAAAAAUAGCUGUAGAUAUUCCAAGCAAUGAGCGAAAUGUUUUGGGAUAUCAUAAUAUUGAAUAUUAUUAUACUGUUUUCGCAUACUUAACAUAUAAGCAUUUUAAAACACGUUAUCAUUAUACAUUAAGUUAUAAACCAACUUAUUUUUCUUUUGAAUAUAAUUUAACAUUAAAUUAAAAAGCAGAUUAUCAUCAUAAGAUAUUUGAUCAAAAUACUAAUCUAUCUAAACAUUAACAAUAUAUACUAAUUAAUAUCUUUAUGUUUUGUUCAAAAUGUACAUUCUACAAAACUUUUGUGGGUUUAGUUAACUUUUGUUGAUAUAUAUAUAUAUAUAUAUAUAUAUCAGCUUGUAGAAGAGGGGAACCUUUAAUCGUGCUAACACGGACCCGAUCCAGUUAAAGUGCUUGUAUAGCAAAAAAUUGAUCUGACUAUUUAUUGCAUUAAUUGGUAUGGUCACGUUAAUAAAUCUUAUUACAUUGCGAUUGACGUUAACGUAUGAUGUUACUGCUAACAAGAAUUCAAAUCAAAUUUACAAGAGAAAGGUUCAAUUCAAGCCACCAUUUUUGCUUUUCUUUUUUUCGCUUCACAAAAAGUUGGAUUAGUGAAGCAUACUACAACACUCUCUUUAGGGAUCGGACCCCUCUAUGCACUGUUAUGUCGGCUAGUGUCCGCACACCCUACGCAGUAUUAUUUAUUGAUACUUACACAUAGAAUAUUUUUUGCCAACAUUUUUAGUACCUUGGAAUAUAGUAUAUACCGUUGCUCAAAUAGUUUCACUAAUAAUGUGGUUAAAAACAGACGAUAUUUGAUACAAUGUACUUUCUCUGUUUCAUUUAACUCUUAUAUUCACAUUGUUUUUCUCUUUCAAAAUAAGUGAUGUAUGCAAAAUUACCUCAUUGUCCCAAUUUAUCCUUAUUGUUUUUCAUACUAUAUCUGUAUUUUUUUAAAACUUUUUUUUUGAAGAAACUAUUUGUAAUUAUUGCAUUGCUUGUAACAUAGAGAUAAUUAUUUGUUUUGCAUGUUUUCCUAAUAAUUGUGCAUUUAUCCAAAAUAUAUUUAUUUUGGAAAAGUAGAGUAAUAUUCUCUCCGUUUAACAAAAAAAAAAAAAAGACUUAUUUAAACGUAAGAAUGAUAAAGAAAAAUAGUUUUUAUUUCCAUUUCAAGCGUAUAAGGUUAUAGCAAAAUGAAACAGCCAGUUCAUAGACAAAUUUGAAGAUAGUUUUUCGUACAUCGGUACAUAUGAUAAUGAAGAAGUCUAGACCCAGACACCCAGCUAACGGAUCUUAAUCUUUCUAGAGUAUGCGACUUAGUAAAAGAUCAAUUCAUAGAUCAAUUCACUGACGUUAUUAUAUCGAAAGCUUUCAUGCCCACAUAAUGUCAAAUAUCUACCAUUUUCUCGAACUUACAUUUGAACCAUCGAUCUCAAAUGUAACAUGUAUGAUCGAUGUAUAAUAUCAUAUUUGUAUGAUGAAUGUGUAUAAUUGUCUAUGUGUAACAAGACUUAAGGCGCACGUAUCAGCCACCAGGGCGGCUCGUUUUGAUUAUUACAUGUCGAAAAAGUUUUCACAAAGAGUCCGCGUGAAUUUAAUGCCCCAACCUAACUCUCCUCACUUAUUUCCCACUCCUUCCAUUUUUAAAGUUUAAUCUUUGAAAUGAAAUAUGUCUCUGUAUGCGAUCGACCAUACAACUAUUGUUACAGUUUUUUUGACCGAAACGUAAAUAUCUUUUUAGGCAUUAUUCAUUAGCAUUAGACAAUAAUCAAUUAUUCUAGACACUGUUAGAAAACACAGCUGCCUAGCUGCCAAGACGACUAUCUAGGCAAUCAACGGUUUUCUUCCGUCAAAAAUAGUCCCAAAUCGACUACACUAAUUAAUCUUAUGACACAACCGAAUCUUACAUAUCUAAGACUAAGUUCAGAAUCACUAUGUCCAAAUUUACAAGAACCAUUAAACAAUAAUAUACGACCCGAUGAUAGUUUUUCGAGAAAAAAUCUCCACCAAUCAAACGAUAGGAUCGAUCGUGUUUGACAUAUUAUAUCAAAACCAUCGUGAUCAAUAUCUUAUAACGCAGUUAUUUGUGAGCCGACAAAUCCUUUUACCACGAACAUACAUUUACAGCGUAGUUAUUAUUAUUUCAAUCCCAUAAGAUGUCAUUAACUACAGUUCUCUUCGUUUUUUUUGGUGCAACCAAUUAUAGUUCUCAAAACGAGACACCAAAACAAAUACAAUUUAUAAUUGGACCCAUCGAUUUUAAAGUAAAGUAUGCCACAAACUUUAAAAAGGCUAAAAAAAGAAAAGAAAAUAUAAAUACACUUACGUUUCUCAGACUCCAUAUAUAGGACUCAAAACUUCUCUGGAUUCUUCACAUUUCACCACAACGACCACCACUCCUACACUAACACUUAUAUCACCAACACAUUGUGUUCUACUAUACAUAAAAUUCAGUUCCUAAGUAUUUUUGUUUUGUUUUGUGAGAUCGAUGGAGAGUUACUUGAGGAAAUGGUGUUUAGUUUCUGUGUGGGUUUUGCUUUUAGGUUUAGGGUUUAAGGUAAAAGCAGAGCCUCAAGUUCCAUGUUACUUCAUCUUUGGUGAUUCUUUGGUUGACAAUGGAAACAACAAUCGUCUUAGAUCUAUUGCAAGAGCCGAUUAUUUCCCUUACGGCAUCGAUUUCGGCGGCCCCACCGGCCGUUUUUCCAACGGCAGAACCACCGUCGACGUUCUCAGUAAACCCUUAACUAUAUCUUUCUUCUUAUUUUUUCUUCUCAAAGAUAUUACUUUCUACUUAAUCUGUCUAAUUAACUAAACUAGAGUGCGACUGAAAUGUUAUAAUCAGAAUCUAACAUGUUUUUUUUGUUUUGACAUGACUUGUGUGAUAUAAUGAAGCUGAGCUACUUGGAUUUGAUAACUACAUUCCUGCGUAUAGUACUGUGAGUGGCCAAGAGAUACUUCAAGGAGUCAACUACGCAUCUGCAGCUGCUGGAAUCAGAGAAGAAACCGGUGCACAAUUGGUAACAAAGACAACACUUUGAUAAUUCUCAUGACCUCUCUGUUCUGUUUAAGACUAGAAAAAUAUUGUUUUAACUUUUUCUUGUUUUUUUGCUUUGCUUUCGGUAAUGAAGGGACAAAGGAUAACAUUUAGUGGGCAAGUAGAGAAUUAUAAGAACACAGUGGCACAAGUGGUGGAGAUUCUUGGAGACGAGUACACUGCAGCAGAUUACCUUAAGAGAUGCAUUUACUCUGUUGGUAUGGGAAGCAAUGACUAUCUUAAUAACUACUUCAUGCCUCAGUUCUACUCCACUAGCAGACAGUACACUCCCGAACAGUAUGCUGACGAUCUUAUCAGUCGUUACAGGGACCAGCUUAAUGUAAGUUUUUCUGUUUAAUUCGAUGGAAAACUAUGGGGUAAUUUGGGAGUCCUCUGUUUUUUUUGUAUCCUUGAUUCUCAUUUUGGGAUGAUCUAUUUUAUGAUAUGAUCUUUAGCAGUAAUUUUAAGUUUAUUUUCAAUUGAACGUUACUUAUUUCACAAUCUUUCUUAUUUUGCGUGUGUAUGAAGGCACUGUACAACUAUGGAGCUAGAAAGUUUGCAUUGGUAGGAAUUGGAGCCAUUGGAUGUAGUCCGAAUGCGCUCGCACAGGGCAGCCAAGACGGAACAACUUGUGUGGAGCGUAUCAACUCGGCCAACCGAAUCUUCAACAACAGGCUCAUAUCUAUGGUCCAACAACUAAACAACGCUCAUUCCGAUGCUAGUUUCACUUACAUCAAUGCUUAUGGCGCUUUUCAGGAUAUAAUCGCCAAUCCCUCUGCUUAUGGUAUAAUAGAGAUAUCUUCAUGAAACUUAAGCCUAUGAUUAAAUAAAUAUUCUCUUCUACUUUAUGGUAAAAAGAAUCUAAUCUAUAUAUUGGGUUCUCUGAAUGAAUGUUUUUAGGGUUUACGAAUACGAACACUGCGUGUUGCGGAAUUGGAAGGAACGGAGGUCAGCUAACAUGUUUACCGGGAGAACCCCCGUGCUUGAACCGAGAUGAGUACGUGUUUUGGGAUGCAUUUCAUCCUUCGGCUGCUGCAAACACGGCCAUUGCAAAAAGAUCUUACAAUGCACAAAGAUCUUCCGACGUUUAUCCGAUUGAUAUCUCGCAAUUAGCACAGCUUUGAAAGGACAGAGAAUAGGAGAGUUUUACAACAAUUGUAUGCUUUUCAGGUUAUAAAUUGAAUUAUUGGAAAUGAUUCUGAUGUUAUGUGUGUACCCAAAGUGUUCAACUUUAUAAAAAAAAAUAGGGAUUGCAUUAUCUGAGUUACUUCCACAAUGUUUUUUUUUUUUUUUUUUUUUUCUUUUCUGUAAUCGUGUAUUUUCAUUCAGUUUCAAAAUGUGUAGUCUAGGAUUUAUUGUCUAAAACUUUUGUUUGGUUGAACACGGCUUCGCUGAAACUGGAUCUAGUAUAUAGAUAGGAAUUGUGUUAAAUUGUUUUGAUCAUUUGAUUUUUAUUAACCGUCAUUAAUCAACUAUGAGUACAACAAAUGUAAGAAAGAAGACAGAAACAUUAAAUAAUUUGAACGCAUCUCUAUUCAUUACUUCCAUUAUGCACUUUGAAAAAUCUCUUGAUCCUCUCAGGAAAGCACGUAACGUAAUUCUUUCAUACGUAAUAUUACAUUCUCCACCGGGCUAAAUAAACCAAGCCCAAAAGUUAUCAAUGAAGCCCAAUAGUUGUCAAUCAUUUUUUCAUAUCGAACUAAAAAUGUGUUUUUUUUUUUUUUUGUUUUGGUUUUUAAAAAUAACAUAGAGUGCACCAGCCGGGAACAUGUAGUUAAUACAAUUAACUAAAAAAACAUGUAGUUAAAUAUAAUUUUUUUUUUUUUUUUUCUUGUCGUCUACUCAAAAUUUAAUUCACCUUGUUUUGUUUCGUUAAUUAAUUUAGGUUGUUGUUCUAAUAUAUGCUUUUAUGAUUGAUACAAUGACUAGGACUGGACACAGGACACAGGUCAUCUAUUUUCAAUUUUAGAAUUGCCAUUAGAUUUUUAAGAGUAUUCUACUGGAAAAGAGUUUUUUUGUUAGUUAGCGAUAUUUAAAUCUAAGUUUAAAUUGUAUGAUAACUUGAAACAUACAAUUUGUUAGUUAGCGAUAUUUAAAUCUAAGUUCAUAUAUAUAUGGAUAAUUCCUACUAAAAACUUUUUUUUUGUAAUGAUUCUUUUAUGACCAAAGCCUAACAUCAGCAAGUAUUCAAAACAUAUUAACGACGAAAUUAUCUGUCAAUCGAUGACUAGAAUGAUUUAGUGACCAAUUGGCUUUACUUAUUUUUUCUUUCUUCAGAGAACAUGCAAUAGUUUAACAAUAAAUGUAGCAUUACCCUAAGUUAAGAGUUUUGACCUACGAUCUUAAAUGGAAAGAGUUGGGAGGGAACAUGGAAGCAGCACCGGCCUUGUUCAAUUAUGAUACAAACAAGUCGUUGAUUUAUUCACAAAAUAUCCACUAUACCUUUCAUUUAUUGCCCAAACCUAAUUCUUCACCUGUUUUCUUUUCACCCAAUUUUCUUCCAUUUCAAAUAAUUGGUAUCUUUCAAUUUUAGAUAUAUAUACACAACAAGUGACACCGAUAAUACACAAUCUAUCACGAUUUUCUUUUCAUUUCGUAUUUAUUUAUAAAAUGAUUUUUAAUUGGCUCAUUUAUCCAAUUAUGACAAAAGUUAGGAUUUUGUACGCGGAAAAAACUCUACAGCUGGUCAACGUUCAGAGAGAAGGACAAGUGGCUUUGUCAAACCUACGACUUUGUCUUCUCUCAUACUAUUAUAAUGCAAAAUAUCUUUUUCUUACUUUAACCAGCUGCAAAUGACCUUUCUAAAUGCUUUAAACAAUAUAUAUAUCGAAACAAUGAUCAGAAAUUAGGGUUUAGUGAGGGUAUAUGUACAUUACUAACUGUAAAUAAUAUUUUAUUGGUAUAAGUCAUGACUAAAAAUAAGCCCUUGUCGAUAAGUCAUAAAUCCUACUCUCCGCGCGAUAUGUUUAAUUUUGGUAAUUACCUAUCCAUUUACUGUAGUUCUUUUUUUGUUCAAUGUUCCUUCUCCAACUCCUCUUUAAGUUCCUUAUAUAAGUUAAUGUUAAUUUAGUUGUCGGCACAUAUACCUUUUAAAUUAUCGAAUAUAAAGCCAUUGAUAAAUCUUGAUUCUGAUGUUGAAUGAGAAAAAACUGGUCACAUUAUAUUGGACCCACCAAUCUUAAAGUGACUAGGCCUACAAAAAUUAAAUCUAUCAAAAACACAAAUGUCUCUCUAUAUAUAGUUACACAACUUCUUUGGAC
rnacentral:lncRNA from 1 species